rnacentral:lncRNA from 1 species
UCACCGAACACAAAACAGAAAUCAAAUCUUCUUCUUCUUCUUCUUCUUUUUCUCAAACUCUUUCUCUCAUAAUCCCAAUGGCUUCAAGAAGCUUCCUCGUUCUUCUUCUAGUGCUCGCUUUGGUAGCCUCUUCCGCUACGGCAGGGCAUCAUCAUUCACACCCCAAGUCCCCGGCCCCUGCACCUUCUCCAGCCGUUGUGGAAGCUCCGUCGGUUCCGCCGUCUUCGAUUUCCGGGACUCCUGUUGAGGCGCCUGCUCCGGCAGCAAACGGCGCUGGUCUUGUUUCUGGAUCAAUGGCUGUUAGUGUUGGGAUCUUUUUUGCUGCUGCUUUGUUUGUUUAGAUUCUUUUUUCUUGACUAAUAUUGGUUUUUGUUUACGACGAUGGAAUUUAGUUAUUUGUUUUAUCAUAUUUAUUUGAUUUUAUUGGUUUAUAUCACAGUUUGAUUAUGAGUAUCAGAUUUAAUUCUGUGUUUAUUUUGGUUUUGUUCAAUUUAUUUAGUUAUAUAGAUUGCUCAAACUUUCCAUUUAACUGCUGAGGAUGAAAGUACACCAAAAUGGAAAAGAAGUAUCAUUAAAAUUAUAAUCCCAUCCCUCAAUAGCAAGUUUUCUGCUUAGUUUUGUAGCAUCAAUCCAUCCACAUUUAUGUGAAUGCUUAUCAUUGAUUGAUAUUCUAUCAAGUCUAAUUAAGUUGGCACGUUUUUUGCUAAAUCCAAAUUCAAGCAACUAAAAAGCAUACCAUUUUGGCCACAACAUCGAAGUACACUUAGGAUUAUAAGUGUUGACGGUUUUUGAUUAGGUUUGAAGGUGAAAUCUCGAGUGAAAAAGGGGAUAUGAAACUGACCUUUUUGGCCUAAAUCCAUGAAACCCAUCUGAGAAAUGGAUCAUUUGCUGAAGAGACAUUUGGUUGCGGUUUGGUGAUAUUUGAUUCGGUUUUCAAAUAUAUUACAUAAAUUUUUUCAUAAUACUCGUACACAAAUUAAUUAGUCUAUGGAAUAAGUUUUGGUGAAAUUCAUUUCAUAAAACUCAUAUUACAUAAUAAAUAAGAAAAUAGUUCAUUGAUUAUGUAACAAAGUAUUUAUGUAUGAACACUACACAACAGCUGAUCAAAUUAUUCCAACAAUUAUUUGAAAUUGAUUGUAGUAUUUUACAUAUUCCUUUUUUGCAUUUAGUCCAAAUAAAAAGGUAAGCAAUAAUAUAGUAUGAGUUGGAUUCUUUUGGAUAUAUAUUUAUGUAAUUUUGUUUGUGUAGGUGGACUUCUCAUAUCAUAUAUAUAUAUAAUUCAUUUUUGUAUCAUAUAACGAACUUAGAGGAUGAAUGUCCAUUUUGUUGUACAUACGAUAAUAUAAAUCUUGACAUUAUUUUUUUGUAAUUGAAACAUUUUUAACUGUUUAACUUAAAAGAUAAACCAUUUAAAAAAAAACUUAAUUUUUGAUAAUUACUCAAAAUUACGCCAAACAUACAAUAUAAAAUAGGAGUUUUUGAAUUUCUUUAUUCUCUAAUCAACUUAAUUGAUCCAAAUGGCCCUAAGUUGUUUUAAUAUUUAAUAUUUAAUAUUAAUAUAAAGUUUUUUUAUAAAAAAAAUUUGAACAAAACCAUUAAAACAAUUAUAGGUUCAUUUUAUUGAAACCAUUGGCAGCCAAAUUUGCUGUAAAAUGGAAAGCCCAAAUUCCUUAAAUAUAAACCAAUGUUGUAUAUAUGCAAAGAAAUUUUGGACAUAUAACAAUCACAUUAAUUACAAUUCAAAAAAGGGAAAAUACAACCACAUUUCAGAAGAAAAAAAAAAUCUAAAAUCAUAAAGUUAGAUUUGUAAAUAAAUCUUUGUAGAUAUUCAACCACUAAAUUUAUGCUUUUAGAAUUUGUCCCCCAAGAUUUCUUUCUAUAUAUGUACACAUGAUUUUGUUCAAUAUGUAAUUGAAAAGAUUCAAUUAUAGAAAGAUUUUCUAAUAAACCUUAGAAAUUUUGCUUUAUAUAUAUAUAUAUAUAAUUUAAAAUUAUUUGGAGGUAGAAAUUCAAAUAAUUAAGAGAGGUUAGAUUUGAAAAUGUGAUUGAAAAUACAUAACUAAAUUGAAUAAUUUGAUUUGGGAUUAAUUUUUUAUAUAGAUGAUUUUCAGCAACCAAAAAUAAAUAUGAAGUGAAUGAAAUUAAAAUAGAGAAAGUAAUUGAUGGAUAAAAUGAACAAAAUAAUGUAAAAUGAAGAACAAUUUGAAUUCAAACAUUGAUAACAUAUUUAAACAAAAGAAACUCUAAAGUGAUAAUAAUAAACCAUCAAAGGAGAGCAGCAGCAGCCAUUGCUCCAAUAGCCACCGAUCCUACCAUCGAGAAGCUGUUCUUAAACCCAUCACUCUUUGCUUUCGACGGCGACAGUGCUUCCGAAGGCGGUUCGGCAAUCCACGUCGGAGACGGAGAAGGGGAAUCUGGUUGUGCAGUUGGUGGCUCAUCGUGAUGGGCCGGCGGCGGAACUGAAGUAGGCGACGGCGGUGGAGUACUGGGCUCGGUUUCAUGGGACGGCGUUGGUGGUUGGGUAGGAGGCUUGGUGAUGGGAGCCCAUCUCCAGGGAGGGGAAAGGGAGGCAGGAGGAGUGGGCGACGGGGACGGGGACGGGGAUAUGGCAGCGGCGGAGAAGAGCAGCGCUGCCGCUAAGAGGGCGUUGAGAAGGAGAGAGUGAGGCAUUGUAAUUGAGAAGGGGAUUGGUUUUGUUUAUGAUGGAGAAUUAAGACAAUAAUAUUCAUAUAAAUAGGAGAAAUGUUUGGGUAAAUUUAAAUUAAUAUUGAUAAUUUUUUUGGUAAUUUAUGUAAAUUUGGUAAUUAUUGUGGUGUAAGAUAAAAGUUUUCCAUCUAUAUAUUUAUAUAUAUCAAAUACGCAAACUAAAAUAUCCCGUUGAUUUACCAUUUACUCGGUGUGUAGAGACUAAAAUUAAAAAAAAUGAAUCGAAGUAUAUGAACAAAAACGAGAUUUUAACUUAUAUUAGAAAUUGUAAAAAUAAAACAUUUUUCAAAAUAUUUACACUUAAAAAAUAUUUCAAUCUCUCUACAUUUUACAUUUAUCGAAAAAGUUUUAUCAUAUAACUCUAUCAAUUAAGAAAUUAACUCUAGUUACAAGUAGAUUAAGUAACGUACUCCUAAACUUUAAAUCAAGGUGUUGAUAAUGAAUAAUCAAAGUAUGAAUAAAGUGUACAGUGGGUAUCAUAUUGAACCGUUACGCUCUAUUUUCGAAGUAUUUGGAACUGUUGGAUUGGUUGGAAUUUGAAGUAUUAUUCUUAUUUGAAUUACAAUUCAUACUAUUAACUCGUCGCAUGUUCAUUGAGUAUUCAAAUAAUAAAUAAACAAACAAAACUCAUUUAGAAGGUAACUAUUUUUUUUCUUUUCACCUUUUCCAUUUUUCUUAAGAUCGGUUUCGAUUUAAUUCAAUCCAAUUCUUAAUAAGUGAAAAUUUGAACCAUAGAUCUCUUAAUACAUACUUUAUUUCAGUUGAGUUAAGUUCAAAGUAGAUCCAUUUUAACAAUAAUCUUUCAACUUUAUUGAAUAUUAUACCUUAAACUAAAACAAGUAUUUCUUUUACGAUAAAAUAUGUGUUGAAAGUUGAAUGAAAUGAAAGAGUAGCCCAAAGACGAUUUGGUAAUUUUGCUUCUCUUUAAUUCAAUUGGUGAUUAAAACUCGACUGAGUGUUUGCAUUUGACAUAUCAUUGAAGUAGAUGACUCACUCACACCAUUUAGAUAUACACCAAUAGUUGAGGAAGUUUAUUACAUCGUUAUUCAUGUUAUCUCAUUAUUUGUGUUAACUUAUAUUUCUCGUAAGAUAACUACAGCCGAUAUUCACGGAAAGUAAUUUGUUUGAGGAGCUUUCUCACCCGAAACAACUUUAUCUCCCUCCCUUUAUAUCCCCCACUCCCAUACACAUCUCUCACAAAACUCCCUUCCAACUUCACAACCUCUCUCUCUCUCCACAUCCAUCAAUGGCUUCCCUCCCCAUCACACUUAUGGCACUAACGGCCCUAUUCCUCAUCACCUCCACCUUCGCUCAGUCUCCAGCCCCGUCGCCCAAGAAAUCACACCACCCCCACUCCCACUCUCCCUCUCCCCAUAAUUCCCCUAUCCUUUCUCACAAAUCGGUGUCUUCACCUUCGCCUUCACCGUCGCCUUCUCCAGUCGCUUCUUCCUCACUCCCUCCGGCCAAUGCUCUUGCUCCUGCUCUUCUCUUUAAUGAUGCUAUUACCAACACUUUCGCUGUCUCGGCUUCUCUCUUCACCGCCGUCUCCGCCGCUGCUUUCCUCUUCUAGAUCUCCACUCCUUCUCCUUUCUAUGUGCUAAUUACACAUUUCUCUAUUCCCUCUUUUUAAAUAUUUUUGCUCGCAUAGUUUCUAAGGCAUGGUGGAGUUUUGAGUUUGUAAAACAUUUUCUUCCUUAUUUGAAUUUAUCAUAUAAACUUUAUUUCUAUUUAUUCUGAUUAACUCAUAUCGAUUUGAAUUUUUUAGUCGUGUUUGCUCCAAUGAAAACGUAAUACAUCAAUAGUAUUAAGAAGAGUAAACCCUAUUUGAUUACUUGACAUCCGAAGCACAUCUUACAUGGUAUAUUACUAAUAUUGUCAUGAUCAUUACUCUUAAGACCUUUCACCUAAAAGAUUAUCAAUUUCACAUCGUUAUCGCUAUCGUUACCACUUGAUCUUCGAAAGUAAAGAUAAAAAACGACUAUAACAGUGAAUUUUCAUAAGUGAAUAAAAUAAAUAAAUUACAUUUGUGAUACAAAAUCGUUCCAACUAAUCCAUUUAAUAAAAAUACCAUAAUGAUUAAUAUACUAAUUUUCAUUAUUAACUUGAUAAACUUGAAUUUCCCCCCUACAGUUUGUGGGUAGAGAGGCAGAUUCUUCAUUCACAUAAUAAUUAUAAUCAUCACAUAAAAGUUGUUUCUUUUUUUCCUUUAAUUUUAUGUAGUUUGACAAAGUCUAAAAUGAAUUCAAACUCACAUAUUUAAAUUUCAAAUGGGUAUUAAACAGCAGAAUGGAAAAACAAACAUAUGUUAAAAAGUUGAUAAAAUUGAAAAAGAAGUUUUUUACCAAAAUUUUAUCUAUUAUUGUCCUUCAGAUCUAAAAUUAUUUGAGAUCCAAAAGAAUUAUGUUCAGAUCUAAAAGGGAACAAGAGGUGGGGUUAGGGGAGAGGGAGGAGACCCCAAGGCAUGGAGACUGGGCACACGAACCUGAGAAAAAAUAUCAACCAAUUGAGACUUCAUCUUUCUUUUAGUACGAUCAAACCGAGAGAUUUGAACCACAAAUUUAUUUAGUUAUUAACUAUCUAUGGAUGCUAGCCGAGCUAGGUUUCUUUUGAGUUAAAUUAGCUUGAUCAAUACAAUAGAUCAACACCUCAAACUGAAACAUAUUUUUAUAAAAUCGUGCUUGUAUUUGUGUGUGCAACUUACUCAAUCUAGAAAUACACAAUUGUUGGCAUUCAAUAAAAAUUUACUUUUGGUUUUUUGGGUUUGAAGUUGAUGUCUAUUUGGUUUUUGAAGUUUCAAAAGAUGCAUGUUGAUCCCUCAUGUUUAUAAAAUAAUUUUGAAUGGUUCAUAACUUAACUUUAUAAAUAGAAAUAUAUUGAUUGUGCCGUUAACUCACCUUGCGUUAUCUGGUUAUUGGCCAUGUCUUUUUCUUUUUAAUAUUUAUGAGUGUUUAACCCAACUAACAUGCAACUCAUUUAAUUUUAUGGGAUAAUAUGUCUAACUCUACAACAUUUAAGUGUCAAGAAAACCCGUUCAAUAUUAAAAUAAUCUUUAUAUAGUAGUUGGCCAUCAUAUACCGAAAUCCAUAUUUCCCUAUCCGUGAUGAUCACCUAUCUAAGAUUUAAUAUCUACUAAUUGUAGCGUGUCUUUAUCUACCAUUCACACUUUUAGUAGAUAUAUAUUGGACAUUUGAAAAUAGGUACUAUUUUAAUAAUAUAUACAUAUAUAUAUAUAUAUAUUGAUCCGACAUUUGAAUGCUUUGUCACUUGUUUGCUCUAAUCUGCCUUAUUUCUUCUUUAUUCGGUUCGUUCGUAUCUAUCUUCGACUUAUCUACUUUUAGUUUCCACUCUUCCACCUACGAUAAAAAAGAGACAAGAACACAUAAGUUUGUUUCUAAAAUUCGAAAUUUGACAAUUUUCAAUAAAUUUUCAGCGAUGAAAGAUGACUCGGUUGGUGAAACCUCGUGGAUGAAACACGAAAAAAGAAAUGAAAUUAGAUAGAGAGAUAUAUACAAACCUUGUGGAGGAUAUCUUGUGUUAGGUGAGCAUCAUGGGCAAUUUCCUUAGAAUAACUUUCUACAACUUCAGCUGCCUCUUUCAGCUUACUCUUCUCAGGAAGUUUCUCACAAAUUUUUGUUGAUACUUUCUCUGUUAGUUCUGCUACCUUUUCUACUACUUCUGCUACAUUUUCCGCCUCUUCGAUCACCAUUUCCGCUUCAUCUAAACGUUCGAUGUCAAUCACACAUAUCAACUUAUUAGUUUCAUGUCGACAAAAGCAUUAAUCAUAAAAAUAUAUUUUUACAAUUUAGCAGUUGAGUUUUCUGUUUCUUUAAUACUAUACUAACCUAUCGACUAUAAUCGAUAAAUAUAACAUUUUUUUUUUCAAGACAAGGUGACUAUUGAUUAUUAAGAAAUUUUAAUAUCCUAGUUUUAAAAAUUUAAAUCGAUAAAUAUCACAUUCACGUGUUGAUUUAUAUGUUUUGUUGUUAGAUUUUAAAAGUGUUUUUCAAAAUCAAAACCGUAAACGAAAAAAAGAACGAGGAGUUUUAAAAAAACUUGUUUUAAUUUUUAGAAAUUGACUAAAAUUUCAAAUGUUUAUAUUGGAAUAUAACAAUUACAAUUUUUAAAAAUAAAAUAGUUACCAAAAUUGGAUUUAGUUUUUUAAAUUUUCUUUGUCCAAACAUUACUUUCACCCAAUUUCUAAUAAUUUUUUUUAAAAUUAAAAAAAGGUAAUUUCAAAAUUGAAAAACAACCAUAUCCCAAAUAUAUUAUUUAAAUUGAAAUAAUAAUAAUAAUAAUACCAAAAAUAAUUAGAAAAUACAUAACAAUAUUUUUAAAAAUAACAAAAUAAAUUAAAAUAUUUAUAAGCAAUACAAAAUUUUAGAUUCAAUAACGAUAAAAACUGAUAGGAUUCUAUUAAUGUUACUGAUAAAUAUUGAUAGAAUUUGAAAAUUUAGCUGAUAAAUUUUUUUGUCAAAUUUACUAUUUUUUUUUUUACAAUUGCUGAAAUAAUAUACCUUCAAUUCUUUGCAAUUUAUUCCAAUUGGGUACCAAUAGGGACAAUAGGGCUCCAAAAAUCCACUUUGCCCUAAAUUCAUUCAAUCAAUGAAGAAUAAAUAAUGACUAAAAUUGUGAUAAAAUAUAAAAAUAAAAAAUAAUUGAAGAUUAGAAUUUUGAAUAUAUAUUGUUUUUGAGUUAAUUACCAAUUAGGAGGGACGAAGAAGAAAAAAGUUGAUAUUGAUGGCCGAUCUUCAUCUUUACUUUCCUCUUUCUCUCGUCUCAUCCUAUAUCCAUUAUUCAAAUUCAAAACCAAAAGGAAGGAUUAUAUUAGACUCUUCAAAUAUCAAAUAUUUUGCAAAAUAUUAUCACAUCUAAAAUACUAACCAGCUGGGACGACAACAGUAGGAUCUGAGUAGGGAUGACAUAUAAGUUGUGGAUCCAAAUGGGACCAUGGCGACCGAGGAGGAGGAGGAGGAGGAGGAGGCCUGCAGAGGUUCGGAUACCCGACGACGACGAUAUGUCGAGGAAGAGUCGUCUGUCUUACGAAAGAGUUGAAGAAGCAAGGUUCUCCAAUGACCAAACUUGGACGACAUGUCUGAACACAGAGACGACCUCUCAAAGUUAUACUGAUGAUAUCUAAAGAUGAUCACAGAAAGAAGUAAAACUAAAACCUUAAUACUAUUGAAGAAGUGGGGGAGUUUUGUGAUGAUGAUGAUGAAUUAAUAAUCAAUACAAAAGGGAUUCUUGUUGCUUACAAGUUUUGAUCUUAUUUCAUUGCUUUUUGGGUUAUCUCUCUUUUGGUGGUUACUUCAAAGUAUUGAAUGUGUUAGCUUUUAAGUGUGUAUUUCUUUCAUGACUUGAUCUUUGAAUUUGCCCCCCCAAAACCUACUUUUUCUUUUCUAUCUUCAACUAAUAUUUGUGUUUGAAUACCAAGAAAUUUGAAGGAAUAAGCCAUUGAAUCUUAGCUUCAAUCUUAGCUUUACUUGGUAGAAAAAAUUGAAGGUUCGUUUGGAUUGACUUUCUAAAAGCAUAUAUAGAAUGUAUCGAAAUGAAUUAUGCAUCUCUACUAGUUUCUAAAGGUUAAAAUAUAUAUAUCGUUGUUAUUCUUAUACUUUAAAGUUUGUUUAAUUUAGUUUCUGAAACUUUCAAUAAAUCUUAAAUUUAGUCUCUACUACUUUAAGAACAUAUUCACAUAUUUUGUUUUCCUACGUGAAAAUGUUUAAAAUUUACUAAAAGUACAAAAAUAAUUAAAAUUGAACAAAUUUCAAAGUACAAAGUAAUGCUACUGAAAUGGUAUUUCAACCAAAAAGUGAAUUUGUAAAUUGAUUAGAUAAGCAUGUGAAGACAAUAAUGAAUCAUAUAUAAGAACCAAACCAAUGUUGUGUAAGAAAAGGUUUGAACGAACAUAGUAUCGGAAGAGACAACUAAUAGAAAGAAAAUAUAUUUGUAGUUUCCAUUGAGGGAAAUGAACAAAAAAUAUGAUCCCACCUUUGAUCUUAAUGCACACAACCUACUUGAUGGGGCACACCAAACUAAUAAAUUUUAUCUUACAUCGACAUAUUACCAAUCACUUGUAAUUUUGAAACGAAAUUGUUAAAGAUUAAAUGCCAAGAAAAUUUAAUUAUGGUAACACCAAAGUGUUGCCAUAGUUCUUCCGACAACUCUAAUGAAUGGUGCAAAAAUUGGAAAAUGAAUAUCAAACGAUCCAAUUUUUUAAUAAAAUGUUGAGUAACCCUUUGUUGACGUCAAAUUCGAGUGAAGUUCCCAAAAUACGCUUGCACAAUACCGUAACUUCGUACAAUCAUGACAUCAACAAAGGAACAUUUCACUAUCUUUUAAAAAAUUGGAUCAUUUGCCAUUUUAGACCUUGAAAAUAGGCCAUCGUUCUUCAGCUCUUAGCAUAUAAACUCAACUCAAAAUGUUCAAAUUAGGAAAAGCUUGAACAAAAGAUGAACCAUAACUCUCAUUCCAUAUCAAUUAUAAUACAGAAUGCCUGUUUAUGCAAGUAAAACCAACAAUAACAAUAAGUGGGAAAAGAGUUGUAUAACUAUCAUAACUUGUAUACAACAUACAUAAGAGGUGUUCCAAAAGAAGAUAAUAGAGUGACAUUAACUUACCCAAUAAUAUUAGGGCUAAACUAAACAUGAUCCUCAAUAAUAAUUAAUCAAAUCUAUUUCCUUAAGACAACUAGUAAUGAAGAUUAUAACUGUUUCCUUUUCUUUACCAAAUGAUGAUUAUUUCUUUGAAAGUUCAAGAUUGCCCACAGAAAAUACCAAAAAUUAAUUUCUGGCCAAAGGGCGGAAGGAGAAUACAAAUAACAUGAAGAUGUCUGCCACAAAAGGAAAUUGCUCAAGCGGGCCUCUCCCGAUGUGCGAAUUAAUAUAUCGGGGUCGGGAGUAGCGGCUGUAUACAUAUGCUUCUCAACAUCAGCUAAUGUUAUGGAGUUGUCACCAUUGUUAGCCACACCUAAUUUGCCAAAACCAUAUCCUACUCCAUUUGCAGUUUUUGAAUUCAUCUCAUUCCAUUUCUCUUCACAAGACCUUUCAACGGCAUGAACAAUUUCAUCAGUGGAAGUGUAAGCAAUACAGAUGGAAAGUUCUGCUUUGUUAUUGUUUCUAGUGGCUUCCAUAGCUCUUUCAAUUGCAUCCCUCACAGGUGCACUUAAUAAUCUUAAGUUUCCUAUAAAACGAAGUCUAACUCCAUAUUGAUUCACAAGGCUUUCUUCUCUAAUCAAUAAUUCAACUUUUUCCAACAUCAGAUCCAUCACACCUUGAACUUCUUCUGGACUUCUUCUAAAAUUAUCAAUGCUGAAGGCAUAAAUAGUUACAUACUUCACACCCAAUUCAUAGCAGUAUUUGAGCAUGAAUGUCAAAGCCAAAUACCCAAUCCUAUGGCCAGCUCCUUCAGCCAGCUUUUUUUUCUUUGCAUAUCUCCUAUUCCCAUCCAUUAUAAAAGCAACAUGAGCAGGAAUCGAACCCAUCGAUAGAACUACGAAAAGGAAUCUCCUAAAUAAACUAAUAACAUGUUCAAAGAUUUGAUUAAAUGUAACCCAAAAAUUCGUACACACAUCUCCAACUCCCAUUCUGUUUUGAUUGCUCUAUGUGUAGCACACCAAGACGCCUGUCAAUGAAGCCAACAUUUAUUAAAUAGAAAACAACAAAACCUUAAUUUCAGUCAUAUCUACAGUUUAAUUUUCGAAAUUUGGGGAACAAAUUAUCCCCAAUAGGACAGAGCUCCCCAUAGAAGACAACCCCAUCAACCCAUUUAAUCCCAACCAAGUAAGGGAAAAAGAAAUCCCACCAAUUCUAUUAAAAAGAAUAGAGGUAAAGGCCUAGUUCAAGUAAAGAUGGCGACGUGAGUGGUUGGGGUGAGCAUGAUAGAUCAAAGGUCAACCAACCGAUGUUGAUAUAUAGUACUCCAACAGAUUGAUGCUAGCCCCCAAUGGUGGUCAUAAAAUAUCGAAAAAGGAUCAGAAAACAACAAGAAAUAUAUAAUCUAUCAGUAAAAUAACAAUAUACGUGAUCAACAAAACAUAAUGUAGGGUGUUGAAGUGGGGAGAAGAUAAUUGAAGAAUAAAAAUCAGGAAAGAGAGGAAAAGAUAAAUAGUUGGAGUUAAAAUGUGGAGUGAAGAAGAUAGGUGAGCGCAUUGAAGAGUGUAUUGGAGUUAGGAACAGUGUCAUGAGAUAUAUAUAGGAAUUUAGAUGUUGAAAGAAAGAAGAAAAGCAGAGAGAAAGGAAAGAGCAAAAACGUGUACCCUAACUAAUUCCGUUAACACAAAAUCCAAUUUAGGGCGAAAGCUUCGCGUGAGUAAUAAAGGAGUUUUCUCACAGAUACUCCAUUUCAAAGCCCAAAUAAAAAAAAAUAACCCUUUUGUUUAGUACUAACAAAUGCAAUAGUCGAAAUAAGAUAUCCAACCUCCCCACUUCUAAAGAGGAAGAACAUAUCUAUAUCAGCUAAGCUCGAUUGGGCUUUUAAAGACUAAAAAAAUAUCAUUGAAUUUUGUAUUUUGUAUCAAUGGGUAUCCAAGAAACUUCCUAAAAGUACUUAAAAACACAAAAUCUUACCCCCCCAGAAAACCAAAACUCCGACAACUUGCAAGAGGGCCGGGCGAUGACGGCAGAGGGCGGAGGUGCGAGUCUGUUCGCGGAACCAACAGGAAGAAACGCGCAAUAGAACGAACUCGCAAUUGGCGAUGAUUGCAGCGAACGAGGGUGAGGGUCAGGAGUGUUGAGCAGAAAUCAGCGGGGAACUUGCUAGAAAUCGAAGACAACCGGGGGAAGAAGGACGCGGGAGACGACUCGAGUGGAGGGAGGGAGGGAGGGUUUUGGAAAUAAUAAAGGUUUCAUAUGCAAUCAAUUUAAUGGUUAAAUUUAAUCAAAGAUAAGAUUUGAUUUCAAUUUUUUAAAGAGAGGAAUUUUGGUAAAUUUAAGAAUAGGCAAAAGAAAAGGAAUAGAUUAUUAGAGAAAAUGUUUUGGUUGAAUUUUGAUUUUAUAAUCGAACUUCACAUUGACAAUUGUCAAAUUCGUGAUAGAUCACAAAUUGAGAUCAACGAUGUGAAUUAAUAAACUCAAAUAAUCAAUCAAAAGAAUAAAGAGAUAUGCUCUUUGUGUGUGUUCAUGGGAUGUGGCUUUUUCUUUUUUAAUCAACUUUUUGAGUAUUUAUUUAAAUUUUAUGUUGGUAUCUAAAUUUUGUAUCUGGCUUUGUUCUGAUUGAUAAACUUUUUCAAAUUUGUGUUUUAGUAUAUGAAUUUUUAGAAAGAAUGAGUUAGCUAUUGAAUGACUUCUGUAUUUGGAUAAAUUAGUCUUUAAAUUCAUAAUAUUAUUUUAUAGAGUUUAUUUUUGAAUGUGUUGAUUAUGUUUUUGUAUUAACAUAAGAUAUUUAUAGAAUAAAUUAGUAAAAUUUCUUGAUUACAAAUCAAUUUAAUUAAUAUGACAUCCAAUCCAAAAAUUUCACGCAUAACAUAAGGUUGAAAAUGAUUAAAGUUGUGCAAAAUAGAAAUCAAAAUAAGAUUUAAACAUAUAUUUUUCAUACUUUUAAAAGUUCACAUGAAAUACUAUCUGUUUCCAUUCAAAACUAAUGAAUUUAAAAAAAUUGAAAAGUUUUAUGCAUGUUAAUUAAAUUUUUAAAUACUCAAAUAUUUUGUUACAUAAUAUAAAGUUUGAAAGUAUUUUGUAUAGUUUAGUAUUUUAAAAAAUAAAUUAUAUAUAACAUAACAAUAUAUGUUUUUGGUCCUUAGAUUCCAAAAUAGACUUUAAAUUUUAAAAUUUAAUUUCAGUUUAGUAAUUAUAUAUUUCAUCAUUCAAAAUUUGAGUUUUGCUCCUUCGAGUCUCAAUAUUUAUAUUUUUAACUUCAAAUUUCAAAUUUCAAAAUAAAGAAUCAUCGAUAAAUAUACAAAAAAAAUAUCAAUUUUGGUAGUAACUUUUUAGAAAAAAAAUUAUACAAAUAAAUAUAUAUAUAUAUAAUAAUUAAUAAUUAAAAUGUUUUCUACAUCUUUUUAUUAGUAUUUAUAUUUUCGGCAAAUAUCCACAUGUCUCCUUAAAACUUUGGUAAUUGUAUCAAUUUAUAUUCUAUGAUAUAAAUUUAAACCCUAAACAAAUAAUUGUAUCAAUUACAACAUCAACCUUUGAUAAAUAUAUCAAUUUAAACCUUAAAUUUAAAAAUGUAUAACCCUCAAAAUAUAGAUGUCAACAUAGAUAUCAAUAUCUUAGUUAGCUAUAUAGAUAUACACAUCAAUGAUAACGUAUAUAUCGACAAAUGGACAAUAUUUAAAUACAAACCCUAAGGGGAAACAAGCUCCUGAGGUAAUCAAACCACCUUCAUCAGUCCUCUACAAACCAUCCAACAACUUUACUUCUAAAAUUAUAUAAUGUGGGAAAGAUGAGAAGCAAAUAUAACUAUUGCCUUAGCCUUAAUUACAAAGUAACUAAACUACCCCUGCUAAGAGGUCAGAAAAUUACACUAUAUUGUAUUUAUUUACUUCUAGACUAUAAGAAAAAAUGAUAAAAAGAAAAAAAUAUAUGAUCUGAAGCAUUUAAUUGCACUUACACAUGGGGGAAGAUUACAUACAUCUUUAACCAAACACUGUAGGAGAAGAAUAAGAUAACUUACUAAUUUCAUAUGAGAAGCUUCUUCUUCUUCUACUUUGACCAAAAAGCCAUCGGAGAGUGCAAAAGCAUUGAUCACUCCCCACUGUCUGAAAAUUCCAUCUAUAUUUUCAGCUACAUGAUUGGAGAAUCAAUUCUUUUAUUGCUGUUGAUCCUUUAUACUCUCUAAAGUGCACACAGAGAAGAGCAUGAAAAUUUUCCAUAUAAUUUAGUUGGAAGACUCAAAUGCUCCUACUUCAACCAGUAGGCUACUUGGCAGAGAGUCAGUUAAUCAACUUUUGUACAUCUACCAGUACCUUUUGUGGUUUUUUGUCUCCAUUAGAAGUGAGAAUAUCCACAUUAAUUGCAGCAUUGUGUUCGUUAGCAGCCUCGCCGUCGCUCUGAUAUGAGAAAAAAUGGAGAGUUUGAGAUCACAAAUUAAAUGCAUAUUGGACGAGAAGAGAGAACGGUCGGUUUUAGAUGGGAACCAGAAAAAAAUCUAAAGAAGUACAAAAUAAGUAAUUAACAGAAACCAGAAACAGUAGUGAAAUGCAUGAAAGUAUUGUACUCUUUCGAAUUAGCUGUUCUUGUUUAAUUAUUGAUUCUUUCGUAACUUAAUUUAAAUGUCUACCUGUUCAAUCUCUUUCGCAGAGGGUUCUUGAAUGCUAGGGUUUGAAACCUUGGAAAGAUCUCUCAAAAUUCCCUGUUGCAUUCAAAGUUCGCCAAUGAGAACAUCCAUUGACAUGUCAUGGAACAUUUAGUUUGCUACAAAAUACAUCUCUGCUAAUCACAAUUGAAUAGCUCAUAUGAAAACUUGUGGAAAAAAAACCGACAUAAUUUAUGAACUUUAUAAACUCGACUAUCUACUAAAUAAGGCAAAAGGUGGCGUGGUGGAACUCAAUAGUCAAGAACAAAGUUAAACAUCUAGAACCGAUUGCAUCCAGAUCUAUCUACUGCCUACAGCAAAAGAUUCCAGAAAUGGAAGAUACCGUCUCCAAAACAUGUUUUACUUUCACCACAAACCUUUCGAAAAAUGUACAUUAAAAACCACUUUUGGUUCUUGAAUUUAUGCAACGAAGAAUUAUGUUGCUGAACUUUAGUUUGUUUCUAUACUAUAAAGAUUAAGUGGUUAUGUAACCAAUAUUGACAACAAACCAUGUUUGACAAGAUUUUUCAUGAUAGAGAUCAAAUCACUAUAAAUUCAAAUUAAAUUUGAAGGUAUAGGGUCUAAACGGUUACAAAUUUGAAUAUAGGGAAUAAAUUAUUACAUGUGACAUUGCAAGGACUAAAUUACUAAAAAAUUGAAAGUAUAAGACUAAAUAAUUACAAAUCAAAAUUCAUGGAUUAAAUUGUUACUUUUAAGAAAAUUCAGGGACCAAAAGAGACUUUUAACCAAAUAUGUACAACUGAGGAUAUCAAUGUAGAAGUGGAGUCACGCAGAAAGUUUGAAUUCUACAACGAAAAGCAAUGCUGUCAAUUUUGAUACUCUAAAGGUCUAGUGCGUAUUAGUAUUCCUUCCCAAGUUCACAACCAAUAAAAAUAUAAGCAAAACUAAUCUGCAAAACUAACUUACAACCAUCAUCAACCAUGUGAAAGCAUCUUCUAGAUUGAAACCAUACGGCCAAGAUCGGGUAUUUUUGGUAAUUAAAUAUUAAACAAUAUACUUUCCCCCCAUCACUUUACCUCCAAAAGAUUAUGCUAAUUUCAGCCAAAGGAAAAGUCUAAAUCAUUUCAUGGAAGGUCUCUAAAUUUUAGAUUAAUAAACAAACCUUAUUGGCCCACUUGAGCCCACAUGCAUUGCACAGAGUCCUUGGACCAGCAGGUCCACGACGCAUCAUUGGAGUAGAUUUUGAACUGGUUCCACAAUGUGUACAUCUGCACAAACAAUAAUGGAGAACAAUAUUAGGAAAAGAUAUUACUGAAUUUACCGUUCCAGUAUGAAAGAGAACUGAGCACUUUUAUGUUCCAUCCAGCAUUCUAAUAUUCCAGUUAGAUGCAAGAACUGGCUAGGCAACUCAAGCAAAUAUAUUAUCAUCAUCGGGGAGAAAAGUGAAUGGGGAGAAAAGUGACAUCGAUGAUCCUCAAACUGCCAGCAGAGUCAUGUAAAGUUACAGAAUGGGACCUUGUAAGGAUCAAAUAGACUUACGAGGUCUCCAACAAGCCAUCAUCUUGUCCAGAAUCCAACGUCUGAGACAAAACUGAAGAUGAGCCCACUUCAUCUCCUAUAGCUUUAGAGGAUAUAAACUGUCCCUUCUUCCGCUGCAUUCUGAUGAGUCCAAACAAGAAAUGUUAGAACAAGUUCCGAGAAUAAAAGGAUCUUUCUCUCCUCUGAUUUGAGCAUUUGAUUAUAGCUAGUUUAACUUCUUUUAACUGACAUGCUGAGUACUACAGACAAUAAAAUGGGAAAAAUGCAAUAAAGUAAUUCAGCUAUACAUACUCUGGAUGAUUCAUAAAUAUGACAUUGAAUUGCAUACAACAGAAACAGCACUGAAUUAAUAAAAAUACAUUUUAAAGUUCACUAAGGCUAAGGCUCCGUUUUGGGAUUGUAGAUCUUUUUAAACAUUUGCUCUUAAAAAGAAGUUAUCAUAUGAAGCAUAUAUACUGUUUGGUAAAUUUCAAUUCUGAACUUUAAAAAAAGCAAGUGACAGUGUUUUGUAAAUUCAAAUUUCUGCCAUAUUGUUGUCAAGUAUUGUACGUUGCAAAAAUAAAGGGGUCUCACAAUCUAUAUAAGAUACAUGAGUUACUCCUCUCGUUGUUGAUUGAUUCAAAGUUCACAAUCUAUAAAUUAUUCUAAAAGAAACCCUUCCAAAAGGCAAAAGCUACCAAAACAAACCCUUCCAGCUAUACAUACUCUGUAAUGUUUUCUGCAAUACAUUACCGUAGUUACAAAUUCCUUUUCUUUUUCGUAAAGUAUUAGAAACAUAAUUUUCUUUUCACAAGAUCAAAUAAAGAUAAACCAUAAGCAAUUCCCAUCUUUUUUGUAAUUUCCUCUCAAUCAGCAGCUCUUAGUUUAUUUAAUUCAAGCAAAAGUUCUUCAAUAUUACGAGCAGACCAUUAACCAUCUAUAAAACCUCCAUGUUUCAUCAAUAAAACACCUACAUCAAAAACUUCAUUGGCCUCUCCUCAUCCUAAGGUCUAAACUUGACAUGCCACCUGCCUCGAAACCUAAAUUUUCUGAAAAUUCUUGACCCCAAUCAAGAAUGAGUGGUUCCAAGCAAGCGCAAUAUAACUACUACCCUGUCCCUCCUGUUUUCCAAUCGUUAAUUCUACUUGAUUGAUAUAUUGGUAGGCCCCAAUCACUAAGGUGUACGCUGGUAAACAAGGAAACGGUGAGACAUGUAGGUUGUUCUCAUAGUUCAUACUGGUUCGAGCAUAUUAGUUAGUUAGGGUGGGUGCCAUCCAGUACAGGGUAUCUUUUUGGUAAUUUUGUACUUGAUCUGAGUGAGAGUGGGAGAGGAAGGGAGCUAGCUCCCUUGACUUAACUUCUACAUUCUAACAUAUAAUUAAACUGGUAUCCGCUUUAGAAGUUAUACCUGAGGGCUACUUCUUUUCGCACACUGUAGCGAAUUUUCUUCUCAAAACACCUUUCUUUUCUCUUCUCUCUAAACCUACUCAAUGAAGCAGCUCUUUGUGGUUGAACCGACCUGACAGUAAAGCCAUCGGCACCCUGUAAGAAUUAGAACAAUAGUAAAUGUGGUAGGAAAUAAAAAACACCAGAUGGUUUAAGCCAAUAUUUGGAAGGUAGACCAUUCAAAUGAUAGUUUGCUAUUUAUACCUGUUGGUUGACGGGAGCACUUCCAAUUGCAGGAAUACCAGAAGGAAUUUCAUAUCCACCUAAAAGCAAAAGCACGGCUUGAACCUAUCAAAUGUAACCACGGAAAAACUUAAAAACUCCUUAUGUUCCUGUUUUUCUUUAGGAAAUAAGGAUUAUCAGGGGAUGAAAUGAAAAGGGACUAAUACUUGAAUUACAAAGAGAAUAUAACCAUAGGAAGAUGUGAACGACAAGGACUUGGAGGUGCACUCAAAUGCCAACCUCUCAUAUUUGUGUUCAUGUACUUGAAAAACACCACCUUUAGUAUAUGCUAUGGCAUUGUGGACUUUGCACCAAAGCAUUUCGAAAUCCAAUUUGAAACCGUAAUCUCAAGUUCAACUCGCACUAUCCGUUCAUUAACAUCAAAUUUCUUUCUUUUUUAAUCAUUUUUUAUAAGAAACAAAAUUUUCCAUUCAUCAUCCCAAAGUUCCAACAAUACAGCAACGCAAUACAGAAAAGUCCAUGUAGGAAACUUUGAAAGAAAAAAAAAAGACUGACAGUUCGACUUCUCUAAUAAUUCACAAAAUCCUUUUAACCGGUCCACAAUUUGAACAAAUUACGAAAAAAUCUAAAUUGUAAAAUAAAACGAACUUCAAGAUUGCAUAUCAUAAAGAAGGAUUGAGUCUUGGCUAAAUCAACGGUUUCAUACCACGCCAACAAUAAUCAUCAAAUUGUUCGGAAACUAGAAAAUUUAUUCUACUUAUACUUCAAAUAGUAAAAAUCUUCAGCAACUAGAAUGAGGAAUAAUUACACAAGUAAUGCACAAUUUACGAAGAUCAUUGACACUCAAUUGAAAGCCAAACCUUGUCCGGCGAUACAGAAUCAAAAGCGUAAACCUCCCCUCGGAACGACAGCGUAAGUUGGUCAGCACCGCCGUUUCCAGUCAAAGGAUUGUAAUCAGACCCGGAAAUAUACGUCGAAGGAACAACGUCCUCAACUCGAUUGAUUACCGAGACCGAGCCGCUCAUUCCCCCAGAGUCUUCGAACCGCAUCUGAGGAUUGUCUAUGGACUCUUCCCCGCCGUUGAUGUCGUCAUCUUCAUCGUCGACUCUGUUCUGAAUGUUACCCAAAUCCCGGCCGCCGUUGUCCAUGACUCCGGAACCGUACAUCGCGUCUUCGAAAUUGGAGUCCGGCAUUUCUUACAGAAUCACAUAGGAAGGCGGAGAACACGCUGAAUUUAACAAAGAACCCAAGAAAAAAUCCAAGAAAAAGAAAACCCCAAAAAAUUGAUUGACCAAUUACGACAGACGAUCGAAAACCUCGGCAAAAAAAAUCUCGAUGAAAAACAGAUAACUCAUAUUUCACAACUCACAGCACAAGGCCUCGAAUUUCAAAUUCCGAAAAUGAUAGUUCAACCAAGAAAAGAAAAGGAGAAUUAAUCAACCCCGCCCAAAAACACAAAAGAAGCUGGAAAUCAAGUAAAAGCAACCGAUUCAGAGUUCAAAUUCAAUCCCGAAAAACGCACAAACGAUUCAGUAACACGCCCAGAGGGGUAAAACCUAGAAAAUCCAAGUGGGUGAAGGUGGAAAGUGUUGGACAAAUAAAAAAUCAGCAGGAACAGGAGAAUGAAAAAUUGAAAUGGCAAAAUGGGAAUCUGAAUUUUGAUAAGGGAAGGGGGAAAAAGGAGGAAGAUAACGUGUGUUGGAAAAUGACCUUCAAUUUUAAGCGUUUUUACGAUUGAUGCCACUCCAAUUCACUUCAAGUUGGACGGAAUGAGAAAAGCCGGCGGGGAAACAGCGCCGGCGAGGAGGAAAAAGGAAAAGAAGAAAUGGCGAAGAAGAAGCUACAACGAACGGUUGGUUGAAGUUGAUGUUACGAGAGAUUGCAAGAUCCAAUGGUGGUGGUGAAGGCAUUCAUAUCAUUUAUCAACACUUUCUUUUUUUUUUCUUUCUCUAAUGUUUCUCCAAAUCCAAGACUUCCAAAUAACAAUGAAUCUAACUCAGAUUCUAAGGUUUAUUUUUCUAAAAGAAAGUAAAUAAAUAAAAUAAUAAAAAAGAUUCUAAGAUAUUUUUGUAUUCUGGAAAUAUCAUUAAGAAUUUUUUUAAUUAAUUAGAAAGCUCAUAUAACUAUGAUUUAUAAAUAAUUUUGAAAUAGUCAUUAUAUUUUUUUUUAGAGUUAUCAAGAUUUAAAUAUAACAAAACUUGUAAUUAUGUUGUAAAUAUUAGUCAUUUAGGGAUAGAAAUCCCUAAAAUUGCUACUAAUUGAUCAUAAUUGAAAUAGAGUUGGAAUCACUUUCUCACUAGUAAUAUUUAGUCCUCAAAAGCUAGUUUGUAGUACGAUUUAGUCAACAUGCAUUUUAAAAUUUGUUACAUAAGUAAAAUUAAUUACUAGUAAAAUAGUUAAUGAAUUGCCUUAAAGUCUGCUGCUGUCUAUUCGAGUAGAAAGUAAAUUAUGCUACAUUUAUAAAUAAAUUAGUUUAUUUUACUAUAUAUAAAAACAAUCCUAACCCUAAAGGGACGAAAGUGAGACCAACAAUGUUCAAUGGAGCAAUUAAAGGAAUAAGUACAUUCAGCCUACAAAACAACGAUGGCAAAAUUCAUAGCGUAGAAACGCUUCACAACAACCUCUGCAUCAGUCUCAAUACAAACAUCCGAGCAACCCAGACCUUCAACCAUCGUAUAGCCCCUUUGGAAAAUACAAUAUUUAAAUUGUUGUUACGUUCAAUGUUCAUAAAUAAUGUUUCCAAAAGAGAAGAAAACCAAUAAGAAAAAGAUUAAAUUAUUACAAUUGUUACAAACUAAAUUCAAAGAUUGUGUUUUUAACUCACAUUUUACAUUCACCUUUGGAAAGUUAAUCUCAAAGAGCCCAGAUCAAGAUGUUCCCAUGCCUUUUUCUUUGUUGUGGUUUUUACUUUCUUUUUUUUUUUUUCUUCUUUUUUUUCUUUUCUCUCUCUUUCUCUCUUUCUAGGGAUGGGAAGUCAGCUGGGAAAUCACUUUAUAAUUCGGCAUCUAGCCUGCAGAAAAUAUAUAAAUUAGAGCCAAAUACCCUUUCCUGAACUAAUAAGAUUGGAAUCAACUUAUCCCGAGUUUAAUUCAAGUGUACAAUAUAUUUGGGGAGGGGUUCCAAAAAGGCUAUCUAUAAAAUUUAGAGCCAAACUUGUCAUGAGGAUCCAGUGAGAAUGAACGCGUGGAGGAGGCUUUGUGCUGCCUGCGUUUCAUCUGGGGUUCCAGAUAUGACGAUAAGCCGAUCGCUCGUUAUGGGAUCGGGUUCGUGCACUAUCACCUUUGCACCGGAAAUCUGCAUAAAACCAUAGAGAUUUAACCAUGCCAGUUGAGACAUCAUUAAAUUAUAUACUAUUUUAUUCCAUGAACUCCCAGAUCAUUCUUAAAUGCCUUUUGAUGGAGAUGGUAUGAGACUGUCAUCGUCAAAAGUUUCUUAUUUCAAAUUAGUGAUUCAAUGAACUUUUGUUACUUAGCUAAAUACGGUUGUUAGUUCCAAAUGGAUGCUGUUGCCAAUCUCUAAAUGUUAAUCAUAAAGGACUUUACACACCGACUCUAUUUUAAAUAACUUAGGAACCAUAACCCAAUAUUAAUUAAGUUCGUCAAUAUAUUAUGAAACUCAAACUUGAAGCAUUGACUUUACCUGUCUUAACCGUGUUAAAUUUGUGCCAUUCUCUCCAUACACUAAACUGAUAACAUCAUCAGGAACUACAAUUUCAACCGUUGUGUUUGUCACAAUAGCAGUUUUGUUCCCACUGCCAACAUAAAAGAAAAAGUUAGAUGACUUGAAAUGAUACAUAGAGAUGUUGGCAUGCAACAUCAAAAUGCUACUGUCCUACCCCAAUCACCCAAUCACACCCCAGGUUUGACAGAAUAAACCCAGUCAGCAUUAAAAUAAUCGAUGGUCCUCAGCCUUUCGGCUUUCCCAAGUUUAUGAAAAAUUGAGGAUGCCAAAAUAACAUGCAUAAACAAAACCAUCUAAGUUAACAGAUUUUCGUUAAAUGCCCAUAUUUCAAACUUUUCCAAAGAUAUUCAAACUGAUGGAAUGCGUGUUACCGACCUGCCAAGUUGUACUCCGCUCCUAUGGGAUGGCAAACCCCUCCCAGCAUCUGAUAUGGCCCUAGAACUUAUUCCAGAUAAAGACUGCAAUUAAUUACAAAGAAAACCAGAGAAUCAGAAUUGCAUAGGCACACCGUUUUUCCACCUUUAGGGAUGUCGUAAAGAGAAUCUACCUGCGGUGGCCACAAGCCAGGUGAUGAUGGACUGUCUAAACUGUGAGAAAGACCCAAGUCAUCUGAACUUUGAGCUGUAGAAUGUUGCAUAAAACUACCAUGAGAAGUGCCAACCGGAGUGCUCCGAACUAGAGGUGCAGUGUCCCUUACUCUUCCAUAUGGACUGGUCUCAGGAUAUACAGAGGUACCACCACCAUUCCUUGUUCCCGAAUUACUCAGGACACUAGAAAAAAGGUUAUCCCGCAAUCGACCAGUUACAUUGUACAAAGCAUCUUGAACGUUUGAAAACUCACCUGAAAUCUGUCAGAAGACAACCAUGAAAUAAUUAGAAACUAAAGGGUCACAAAAUAAUGCUUCAUUGCAAAGUUUAUCAUAGCUUCCUUUGAUCCAUUAUUAAUGUAUGAAAAUGGGUGGUUGGGGCCUGGGGGAAAGCUCAUGUUAGUCUCAAGUUUAUCUUAAAACUAUUAAAUCCAGAAGCAUAAUGACAUUAGCUGAAGUGGGUUCACAUCUCUAAACAUUCCAACAGAAAAAAUGUUGAAAAGAAAAAUACAUCAUAGUAUUAAAAGCACCGAGGAAUUGCAAAAUUCUCAUGCAUUAGAAUAAUGAAUAAAAUGCGCACAUCUCUGAUGCAUACGAUAGGUCAAGCCCAUUGCCAACUACCUUUGUGCACCACACCAAGCAUGCAGUAUCUGGAAAGGUCACAAUUGAGCUCAUACUCAGAGUUCAAAAAUGGUCAAGUUGGUGUACGCACAAGCUAAAUUAAUUCCAGAGAUCAAAACUAAUUAUGCUUCUUUAGAAGAGGCUGACCCCAAGAGAGAAAAGAACCAUCUAAUGGGUUUUGAAUCAAUUGGCAAAAAGAUUCAGAUUUCAUUUUAUUUGAUAACAUUAUCAAACAUGUAUUUAGUUGAAAGUAAACUACAACAAUCUCAAACUAAAUGCACACUAGUUCAACAACAAACAAAAUCAAGUUCUUCUCAAUGAUGUGGAAUUGAAUGAAUAAUGAUUACCAAGAACCAAAAUCCAAAAAAUAUUAAAAAAGGUACGAUUAAGCUUUUCUGUACCACAAGCCAGCAUAACUAUGACUUUUUACCAGAACACGCUUGACGCCAAUACACUUUCACUCCAGUCAGUCAAACAUACUCUAGAAUGACAACAAUAAAAUUCCUAAGUACAAGCAUAGUAAGGAUAAUUUUUUUGUUUUAAAAUUAAAAGGUAUCAAACAUGGACUGCCUGCAAGGGGAGGCUGGGUGCACGUCCAAAGAAAGUAAGGUUAGAAAGGGAAUGACUAUUUGGUAACCAACAAAAAUAUAAUGUAUUUUAUUCUCACCUGUACUAUUUCAUCACUCUCUGCAGCACAAUUCGGGACCUGAUCACUCGAUAUUAUUCUUAUGUUUGUUCCUGUAACUUUCCUGAUUUCAGAGAUUAUAACACCUCCUUUACCCAACACACAACCAACUUGAUUUGAUGGAACAACAAGUCGUGCCACUACAGGAGAUCCCUUACUUGAGCUUUCUUGCCACUUCUCAAUGGCCACAUCUACAGACCUAGAGAAAACAAGAACAACAGCCUUCUGUGCUGGCGAGUAUCGGGAUUCAAUGUUCUUCUCAAGACGAAAAAAAUAAAAAAGAAAAAGAAAAAUAGAAAAAAAGAUUAGUGUUGGUACACACUGGUAUGGAUAAACAAAUCAGAUGGAUAAAUUACUACAAAAGGAUGUCACACCUCAGAAGCAGUAAUACUAAUCAGUCUCUCAUCACAACCAGUUACUGAUGGUCCAACACUUACAGUAGCGCCAGAUUCGUUCUGAAGGGCUCGAACAAUUGUACCACCCUUGCCAAUCACACCCCCAAUCCUAUCGUUGGCACAAAGAAUCUUAAAAACAACAUCCUGCUGGGCAACAUUUGUAUCUACUGGGGGAAGCAUAUCAGCAUCUAUAGACAAUGAGUGGAUUCCUGAAGCAAAAAUGUUUGAACUACUUGGCAAAAUGGGCAGAACCGAAUUCCUUUGCAAAAUAUGAUCCAUAUGAAGAUCAGGUAAAGUCUCAUGGAUGACUGCUUCAGCAGGUCUGACUGUUCUCUUCUCGCUUGGAGGGCAGUCUUGAAGACGGCGAGAGACAGCAAGAAGUGCUUUCUUGAUAGCCCAAACAUCCCCUUCUAUCUGCCAGAACCAUAGAGUAUAUUCAUGACAGCAGAUACAUGGCUAGCUAAUACCAAGCAAAGAGUUUCGUAGACAUAAACAUCUACAUAUUCUAGGUAAUUUCCUAAUAAAGAGUUACACAUUGAACAAUAGUAAAUAGAGCAAGGAAGUUGUAAGAUGAAUUAUUUUAGUAACUUGUGAGAAGUGUCUCACGCAUGUCAUUAUUGCAAUAACACGAGAAACUCAUUUUCUAAAACAAAUUUUACAAAUGAAAAGCCUAUAAGCAAAGGAACAUAUUUUGAUGAAAGUAAGUAUCAACCAAACCUUCAUAAGAUGCUAUUCCUUUUUAUUGAUAUCCAUGAGUCUCCAAGCCAAUUUUAACACACCUCAACUAAUCCCAAGGUCAAGAAACCUCGUAGGAUUUUAAAUCUAUGGUAUGGGACCGCUAUAAUUAGAACUCAUUUACUCUAAGUCUUUUUUUUUUUCCAAUGGUUUCCAUGACAACUAGGUCAACUCAUAAUCAUAGUACGGCACGAUGUUUUUGCAAAAAGAAAAAGAAAAGAAAAGACAUACAAACAAACAAACCAUAUUUGAUGAAACAAUAUCAGGACCAAAAGGAAAAUUUUAUUCAAAUAAGAUCAUGGGCCAAGCUGCAUCUUAAUCUAACUUCUUUAGUUCAGUUCUCCCCACGAACCUGGUCCUACAUUUACACACACACAAUAAAACAAAUAAAACAAAAUGGAAUAUCCCACUGCAAAUUAAAGUAGUCUACCAUCAUAAAAAUUAUAUAAACCCGCAAAAAGGACAGAUAAAAUAAACGUUUUCUAAUGGUCUGAAAGGAACUUUUCUUCAAUGGGAAAUCAGGCCCCAACCAGCAUCCUAAUCUAUCUACUUUAGUUCUAAUUCUUCUCAGUUUCAACUAAUAAUGUUUCAAGACAACACAAACUUUUUGGAGCCAUUGAUAGACAAGUUUAGAAAAAGAUAGACAAAUGGAGUAAUUAAACUCUUUCAAAGGGAGGGCAUCUGAUGCUUCUUCAACCAGUUUUCAUGCACCAAAGGAAGUCUCUAAUAAACUGGACAGAUUUUCAGCGAUUUUUUACGGAAUGGUAGUAGUUAGUGACCUUGCAACCACCUAGUGAAACUGGGGUAAGAUUUCCCUUCCCAUUCAAUAUGGGACGGGGGCUUUCCAUCAGUAAAGCAUUCCCCUCCUCGUCCUCCUCAUGUGCCUGUAGAGAUUUACUCAAGAUUAACAGGCUAUGUGAAGAAAGGUGGUCUCAAACACUUAAAGUGAGAAUCCUCAAGGGAGGAGGAAAGGGUAGAUCCAAAGACCAAAGGUAGACUAUGGUUUGACAUAGCCCGAAAAAUGGCUUCUUUUUUCAGUUAUCUGGAAUUCAGAGCCAAGGGAGUAAAAUCAAAUUCUGGAAAGAUAGAUGGGAUAGCUAGGGAACAAUCCCUUGAAGUUAAUUUCUGAAAAAUAAAAUCAAUAAAUCAAUUAAGGAGGAGGCCACUAUAGAGGAAUGCUGGAUAGAGAAUAAAAGUAAUUUUUUGUUCUCUUGAGGCAGGGAAAAAUUCUCUUUGAAGUCUACCAUCAUUGAACUCACAGAAAAAGCCCCAGAAUUAAGUAUUCCCUUAUUCAUCUCAAUCUGCAAGUUCAAAAUUCCAAAAAAAGUUAAAUUUAUUUGCUCACGAUAUUUAUAGUCACUAGGCUCUCUCCCUUUUGAUUUGUUGUUUGUGUCAUGAAGGGAGAAUCAAUCGAUCGUCUUUUUUCCAUUAUCCUUUUGCUGUUAGCAAUAGGAAUUUUCAGUUUGAUAUCUUUGGAACCUCUUGCUGCUUACCAAAGUAAGUUGGUCUGUUGAUGAUAGGGUCUUCAGAGCUCUUUCUGCUGGAAGAGAAAAGGGCGAUAAUUUUUGGUGGAGUUGUGUGGCUGGGGCAUAUUUAGUUGGAAAGGAACCAAAAAAAAAAAAAAACACUUGAAGAUAAGUCCUUUUGUUUAAUAAUUUUUUUUCUUUUUGUAGAAAUGUAGCUCAACUCCUCCUCAUGGUGUACUAUUAACAUAAUUUUUUUUUCUAAACUCAGCCUUUCCAUAAUCAUUAAUAAUUGGAAACUUUCCUUCAGGUUUUGUCAGACGGGAGAUUCCUGUCCCCAGCUCCUAGGCCAUUUCAUUUCUUUUUGGCAAUGAUACAAUUCUGUUUCUUAUAAUAUUACAUAAGAAAAUCAUAAAUAGAAUACACAAAAGUAAAUGAACAAAUAACUAUUUAAGAAAAAUAAUCUGGAAACGGAUAAAAAAACUUUCCAAGCUGGAAAACAAUUAGCAAAACCAUUAAAAUCACAUUGAUUGACUGAAAGAAAUGAUGAUUUUCCAAUAUGUAGUAUUGUAAAAUGCAUAUGUAUCAAAGACACAUCUUACACUAACCAAAGAAAUGGAAUGGCCACAAUCUAAAUUAAGAUCACAGACAUUCGAGAAUGAACAAAAUGAGGGAAUGUGAUUGAGAAUAAAGAAAUUAUUGUUAGUCCUUUGUAUUGUUUUCAACAACUGUCAUUCAUGAAGUAUCGACCCUUUUGAUAACAAUAAAUUUGUUUUUGGUUUCUUUUUCCUCCCAUCCAUACACUGUCAAGUUCAACAUUAAUCAUCAAUAUCACCAUGAGUUCCCUUUUUUAAUAAAAUACCAAGCUUUCAAUUGACGAAAAAAUGAAGAUGGAGAAGCAAUGAACCUCUCUGAAGUUCAUCUCAACCCAUCCCCUCUAAAAUCCCAGUCUCUCGUAUAUAAAUACAGGCAAAUUUUUAACGCUAUGGCCCACUAAAUUAUCUCAUCACCACUAAGGAGAAAAAUAAUCUAAGCGUUUCAAACAACCUGCAACCAAAAUAAUUAAACCUCAAUCUUCCAAGAAGAGCAGAAUAAUAUAGACGCUAGGUACGUUGCCUUGAUGUCUCACAAUCAACAGGUUGUUUGUUGAACAGAGUCCGAUUGGAUUGGAUUUUCAUUUUGAGGGGCACAGCUUUCCUUCCAAAUUUUUUAUACGUAUAAUAUUCCAUUUUUGGAAGUUCAGAGAACAAAUUGGAUAAACUUUAAAAACUUUAACAUCCUUAAUAAAAAAUUUAACCAAAGAUGCGCUAAGAGGGCUAUUACCCACCUCCUCCCGUUUAAGAAUGAAUGAAUAUAAGCCUAAUGCACCUGAAAGCUGAAUUCUCACACCAAAACCCAUAUCAAAACUAGAAGAGGCUGAAUUCAAGGAACGAAAUGAACCAAUUUCUCUUGCCAUGGCACCAUGCCACAAAAUCAAACCCACAAAUUCAGCUAUAACUACAGCGACAUCCAACCUAAGAGAUAAACUCAAGACUCAACAAUAUGGAAACCAAAAGAAAUGAAACAUUUUUUUUCUUUACCUCAAUCAUCUCGUCAGAAGGUCCUGCACAAGCCGGUAACUUAUCUGUUAAAACCCUGAUCCUACACCCACUCUCCUUCCUUAUCUUCUCAACAACCUUCCCUCCUUUCCCUAUAACUGACCCAACCUGGGCAACGUCCGCCAACAAUCUACAAUAAACAACUCCAACUUCAGCACCCACUUCAACACCCUCAAUCUCAGCUGCUACUUCCAAAAUCCUCUCAAACACCUUCAGAAGCCCCUCUUGAGCCUUCGAAGCCUCAACUUCCUCCCCACUAGCCCCAGAGUUUUGUUCCAAAAACACCCUGGAAGUAAGUGCCGGCGACCCAAUAACAGUUACAACCCUGUCCGGUGAUUCACUGGGAGCUUCCUCAACGCGAAUCUUAACUCCAGUAGAUUGCUGAAGUUGCUUUAUCACAAAUCCCGACUUCCCAAUAACCCCACCAAUUCUUGAAGCGUGGCAAAGCAUUCGAAAGGCGACAUGGCCAGGAGGAAUGAUGAGCGGUGGAGGUUGCUUGGACCUCUUGGACUUCGAUGAACCAUUGGAUACACCAACGUGUGUAUCACCCCCCAUUCCAGUAGCGGAGAUGUAUGCAGCUGCUCGCUUCACUGGUAGAGAGGGAAAGUUACUUCCCAUCUCUCAACACCUCGUUCUUCUUGAUUCCGAACCAACAGAAUCUUGCGGUAGAAACUGACAGCAGUAAUUACAAAUGAAUGUGGGAAAAAAAUGAAAGAAUCGAAACUGAAAAAUGAAUGCUCUUCUGGGGUUUUUAGGUGACUGUUACAGAAAGAGUGGAGCAGAGAGAAGAGAAGAAAUAGGGUUUUUGGUUGGAUUGGAAAUUGGAAAAGAAGAAUGGACGAGUGACGGAGAGAGAGGACUUGGAGGCGCACCCCACUGUGGGUGCGCGCGUUACACUGGAUUGUCAUUUGUGUAUUUUCAUUUUCCUUUCUUUUUCUUUUUCUUUUUUUCUUUUCCCAAUAAAGAAAAUGGAAUUUGCUUAUUAUUUUUUCUCUUCCAAUGGAGAAAUAAUUCUGAAUAAAUUUCAAAUUAUCAUUCGGAAAUCUAAGCUUAUAAAUACUAAGUAGAAUCUAUGAUUAAAUUUCAAUGUUUUUAUUAUCCAUUUUACACUGUUGAUUUUAUAUUUUAUUAAUCGAUAUAAAUCAUAUUUAUUUACUAUCUUAUUAUCAAUUAUAAACGUAAAUUUGUACGUUUCUUUUUUUCUCGUCUCAUAUUUGUACGUUUCUUUUUUUCUCGUCUCAUAUUUUAGAAUUUGUUUGUCCUUCGUAUGUCUAUUUUCUUUGAUCAAACUCUAAUUCUUUUCUAGUAUCACUUAAACGUUAGGUUCCUACAUAUCAAUAUAAAAGCUCAACAAAGAAAACGUCUUAUGUUAAAAGAUAACAAAAACCUAAGAAAAAAAUAUACUUUCUAAAACAAAUUUAAUCGUUGAUCUUGGAUUGAAGUGAAGUUUUGCUCCUUUAAGUGUCCCGAUCUUCAUUCAAAUUCUCGAGCUAUGAAGAGAACCGUAAAAAUAAUGUCUAAAACACUUUCCAACUUAAAUACUAAUUUUUUUUUUCAGCUUUGUGUGCUCCCUUAUUUAUCUUUUUAGCUUUUGUAUUAACGUCUUCUUAUGAACGAUUACCUUCUUAUAUUUGGUAUGUUCUUUAUAAAAAAUUCUACAAAGGUUUCUCAUGAUUGUUCACUUUUCGUUUAAGAGGGGCCAUAUCCUGUUGUUAUUAACAAUAAUGAUCUUUAUCAAAGUAAUUUUUUUCAAAGGUCAACUAUUUGGGAAAGUCUCGAGCACCGUGGGUCGACAUCAGCCUCCUUAUCUCCUUAAGAUAAUAAAUAACAUUCUUAUUGAGGUGGGGAACUCCAUAACUCGGUGAAAGAUCGAUGCGAUUGUCUUCGAUUUGUGUAUGGUAGGGGUUUAGAGAUGGAACAAUUUACCAUUAAAAAACCUACUAUUUGAUUGACAAUGUUCGCUCCUUUUCCUAAAUGUGACAGGGAGAUCUAUUAUUCCUUUAUUUACGAGUAAUAGUAAUUUUAAAAAACGGUAAAGAACAAUAGAAAAUAAUGUCUAUGAUCUUAACUUUAAAAAAAAAACAAAAAAAAAACAAACUAAUUAUAGCAUGACUCAACUAUUAAUGAAUUUUCAAAUAUUAAGUUAUACCAACUUAAGCACGACUGGACUAUCAAUGAAUUGUCGAAUCUCCACCCUCGUUUUACUUGACUACAAAAAGAAAAGCAGCCAAGUAGCAAGAUAUGAUUCAAAUAUCGAACUAAGUUAGAAUUUAAGUUAGUACAGUUGUAUGAAUUAUAUUUCAGUUAGCCAUAGGCAUACAUCUACCUUCAUUGAAUGCACAUAGCAAUUGAGACUAAGAAGAUGUUUCUUCAUUUAUAACAGUGACUGCCCACACCAACUUAUACACACCUUGACUAACUUCACGAAACAACCCGUUUGACCCUACAACAUUUUGAUGUCAAGAAAACUCGUAGGAAAUUAAUUCCUAAGUUGAUUGCCACCCAAAAUUUUAAGUUAUCAAAAAAUCACAAUACUGGUGAUCUAACACUUCCUAAAGUACACAGUAAACUCCCUGUCGAAUAAUAAAUCAAAUGUUCAACAUCUUAACCAUAGUUUUAAUCUAAUUCACAAAUAAUUUUAUUUUUUCUUGGCAUAAAAAAACAACAAAAAAGACAAGGUAGAUACAGAAAUAAACAAAUUUCAAAUGAAAACCUCAAACAGCUCUUAUUUCUAUUGAAACAAAUCCGGAACAUUCAUAAAUGUUAUGUACACCAUAAGAAUCUGUAUCAAGGACAAAUUGGGAGCAUGUUUUAUGUGCGUAGCAAAGCACCAAAGCAAUGAGUUUAAUGGCAGUAUGCUGUUCCACAAAGUUUGGGUCAGUUUUAUGAGAACAAGCUAAGAGGAGUGUGGUACCUUCUCUUUUAUAGCCCCGGGUAAGGGUUAUGUUGGUUUCAAGUACGAGUCGUCUGAGCUAAUCGUUGAGCCGUCUAUCCUGGUUAUUAGCCAUUAGCGGACUUCAGAGAAUGAAAAGGCUUCACCACCAACAGGCUCUAAAACUACAUCACAAAUCAGAUUUGAUAGCUCUACGAGAGGCUACUAAGAAACAAAAAUGGUAGAUAGUUGCCUGAGUUGGAAUGUAAUUUGUAUGAAAAGGAAUUUUCGACAACAGACAAGCAAAACCAACUAUGAUUCUAACAUCUAGCUGAAAAAUGGUACAGAAUGGAAAUAUCUUAGAUUAGUCCAAUUAAGAUGACUAUCCCCGGUUAGAUAAUUACCCAGUCAAACAAGGCAAGGGUUAAAAUACAGAAUUCCUAUAACUUCCCAGAUACUUAUCCCCUAUUAGGAAAGAGUGAUAAAUGUGAUGAAUAUCAGACAAAUGUCACCAAUUUCGAUAUUGAUGUUGCGUGGUAUCCUCCUUAUGCGCCUCUAGGAACUUCACUUGUUGCAGGUUUACGGUUCAGAUACCGAAUGACAGCAUCCUCCACCCUGAUUCAAUACAAAUACAAUCACAUAAACUAAUCGAACAAUCAUUUUAGAAACAAUUUUCAUGUUAGAUAUCCGUGUCUAUCACUCCACCAUGCUGUAAUCCAAUGGUUCUUCCUCCCCCACCUCCACCAAAACGAAGAGCAAAACACAAAUGACAUCCAAAGGAGUGGGUCACCCUAGCCCAUAUUCCAAAAAUAAAAUUAUAGAAUAGCGCACAGGGCACAAAUUGCAUCCAUCAUAUGGGAAUUGUUGCCAUAGCCUGUAAUUAGAAAGCUACUCAUGGUUGCAAGUGAUCUUGACAAAGAAGCCAAAAUUGCUUUCAUCACUGCCAAAAUCACUAUCAUUUUGAAAUAGUAAUGUUUGGCAAAGAAGCGAGCUUAGAAAACCCAUAAUCCCAUUAAUGUGAUUAACAAAGUUACAAUUAAAAAAGCAACUAUUAUUUCAUAGUUGACUUUUCAGUAAUUCGAUGAUUAUGAAAUCACUUUUUAAAUAACAAUAAAAUAUUUUGCUACGGUGAAACCCAGAUAUUAAAAUAAUUUAUUGGAAAACACUUAUAAUCGAGGGAUACCUGAGAAUGAUUUUGAAAUAAUUAAAAUAACUUUUCUUAUGUUCAAAAUCAUGGGGUACAUCUCUUUUUUUUUAUCUUUGGAAAAUGCCUUUAAUUAUCAAAAAUCAAUUAAAUGUUUGAUUUAACAUUUUUAAAUGACUUUCAAGGAUCAAAAUUGAUUUUAAAGGGUGAAAAAUGUGAUUCAGAGUUAACUAUGAAUAUGAAAAAUGUGAUUGUAACCAUUUCAAAACAUGCCCAUGCUCUAAAUCACUUGUGCUAAAAACCCACUCGGCCACUAUACGCUGAAGAAAGUACCUGGAUUCAUAAAAACAUUCAUCACACGACCUCAAUGGAUGACCUCGAUGUACGAUAUGAUAGACAAACAAGAAGAGAAGCUGGAUAAAAUAAACAACUAUUACUCACCAUGAUUGACUGUAGAAAUUAGAGUGACGUUCUUUCUCUGCAUGAUGACUAGCAUCUCCAGCAACGAUCUUUAAAUCCUUAGUUUGAGAAGAGAUCAAGUUAUUGAUAAAAUCUGCUGGAGACUGACUGAAGCCAAGAAAGAAAGAUCGCCUUCGAGAGUGCUCAUGUAUCUUCUUUACUGCAGCAGAAAUUAAUUCAUCACAGGAAUCUAUAUCUUUAUGCUUCUCAAAGUUUUCUAAGAAUGCUGACAUUUGUUUUUCUGUUGGAAAAGGCACGUCGACCAUGACAUCAUAACAUGUAGUUCCAACAGGUGAAUUUCCCGAAAUCUUAACUCUAUGUUGUAAGUUUAUAGGUUGGGGAGGAAUUAAAUGUUGUGAUAUCUUCUGAGUGACCAUAGAAAAUUUCACCUUCUCUUCACCGAACACUUUUCUAAGACCUGGAUCACAUGUAAAGAAAGAAGGAUCACUUGAAUUCUGCAACUUGUUAGCUUUCACGUAAUGCCAUAGUGCAGCCAUAAUUCUUGAGCGGGUGUCUGUUUCAAUUCCAAGCACAUCUGACAGAGAAGGCGAAAGACGAAACUUUUCGGGGGUAUGAUUCAUGUCCAAUCUUAUCACUGCAGUAAAUUCUUUAUCUCCUUUUCUCUUCACUUCAAAGCCCUCUUGCAAAGCAGGAGAACGGGCACCCUCCCAUAAAAUUGUAUGGUUAUCUGGAUAAAGGCUUUGAUCUAAGUAUAUAGUAAUUUUCUUGAAGAAAGAUGAAAAUUUUGGGUAUGUAGAAUCAUAAUUUUGCAUGGCUCCAGCGAUAACAGGAUCUUUUCCAUCUUCCAAGAUCCUCCCAAUUAUCUUAAGCGACCAUGAAGGGGAUUCUACGUUUUUCUGAUCAGAACCACUUUGAUUCUGAUUUUCAAAUGUAUUGAAGACAUAGAUCCGUAGGGUUUUUUGAAUACGUGGAGGGUUCUUCAAAGACUCUUGAAUAUCAUUUUUCUUUCUUGCUAGAGCAGCAUCUAUACGACCCUCAACUUCGAGUAAUUGGGUAUAGAUAGCAGAUUCUGGCAGAAGAGCAGCAACUUUAUCAGGUAGUUGUUUCUCAGGAAGCUUGACCUUCUUUCUUCUAGGGGCUGGAGUCAGCUCCAUGGUUUUAAAUGGUGAAGUAGCAAUAGUGUAAGAAUUCCCUGCAGACCUAGAAGGCGGCUUCUGAGUGGGCCUCUUAGAGUUCCCCGUUCCAGGUGUUGACAUAGAGGGUGUUGACCCAGCAUUGACACUAUGCAGCUGAACAGGUUGAGUAUGAGCUUGGAAAUGUGCAUGAGCAGAUUGAGCUUGUGCCUGAGCAUGAGCCUGCGUGUACACAUGAGACAUUGUGCGUGUCUGCGGCUCAGACAGCUGAAAAUGACCUGAAAAAUGUGAUCCGCUAUGUAUUUGAGGCUGUGGCUGAGAGAGUAGAUGGCCAUGAUGGUUCAGUGGUCUUGUUUGCGGAACCAUGCCUGAAUUCCCAAAAUGCGGGGCCACAACAUUCCUCCCUAGAUUGUUACUACUAGUGUUAUUAUUCACCGAAAUAGUUGCCCCAACAUUCCUCACCGCACUGUUGCUAUUAACACCGUUGUUAUUUACCGACAUCGCUAAUUCAUACAGCCAAAAAUCCUUGGGGUGGAAUCAAAUUACUCCAUUUACAACAAUGAGCCUGCAACAAAGUCUCUCAAACCCAAAUUCAAUCGGAUAGCCAAUUUUCUUACAAACACGUUUCGAACUAGUCUCACUAAUUACAGUGCCAAACAACCCAACUAAGCUAAAACCACGAAAAUACUUGGAUGAGCACAAAAGUGUUUUGUCCCCCACUUUCCCGUACAAUAAUUUCCAGCCCUAGAUUUCGAAGCGAACUUAACUCAUGCAUAACGAGCAAUCACAAUGAACUACUACGCUACAGAAGGAUUUCAAAACAUAAAUUCUUCAGAAACCGUUCACGAGAAAUUUAAAGCGACCAUAGACAUAAACAGAGAAGGAAUCACAAAGUAAAACGAAGACCUGUGAAAGAAAAUCUAACCGCUAGUUUCUCCCAUUACUUUUGCAGUUUGCUUAACUAAUUGUAUGGUGUGAAUCCGGGGUUAGCGUGCCGGCAUUAGGUUGCAGGCGAGAGUGAGAUAAGAAGAGGAGAGAGAAAAUUAGCGUUGGAGCGGCGAUCGGAAAUCGGAAAUCGGCGACGGGAACAGAGAAAGAAGAUCGAGAGAAGGAACCAAAAGAGAAAAGAGGCCGUGGGGCGGGCGGGGGGUGCAGCUGCGGGAAGACAACAGUUGAAGAGGAAGAAAGGAGGCAAGAAAAUAGGAUAUUGUAAAUAGUGAAAAAGUGGCCCUUUGUGUGUUUGUUUUGAUGGAUGAAAGGACCAAAUAAGGCAAAAUGAAAAACUAAAUUUACCUUUUUAGUAGUGAUAGGAAGGAAUGGAGGCAAACUAUGAAUCAAUUCAAGCAAAAAUGUAAUUCUGUCUAUGUAACAUAUAAACCCUGAAAAAAAAAUGAUAUCCGGUACUAUCAGGUUAUUAUCAAUUUUAAAUUUACUACUUUUCAAAUUAAAAAAAAUAUAUAUAUAUUUAUUAUUUUUGCAAAUGUCCCGCGUGCAAAUUUCUAACUCAAUUUAAUUUGAUUCACAAGUUUCAAGUUGGGUUAAUCGGUUGUAUUCUUUUUUUCAUGAUUCAAUUUACAAGUUUUGCGUAUUCGUAACCUAACCUUUACGGUUUUGAUUGAUUUAUUGAUUUUUUUUAACAUCCAUCCUUUAAAAAAUGUACAAAUUAAGUUUAUAAAAAUGGGUCUAUUAAGUCUAAUUUUUUAGCUUGAUUUAAGGAGUGUGUGGAGUAAUUUUUGUUUUGUUUAUUAAAAACAAAUAUAUGAUAUUUAAAAUCAGAAAGAAAGAAGUUGUUUUUGAAGAAGAUACAAGUUUCAAAAUUAUUUUUUUAAUUUAAAAUGAAGUUUAAUUAUUUAAAAUAAUAGUUUAAAGAUAUUCGAAAGACUUUUUAAACUUAUUUUCAAGAAUUCAAAGAUUGAUGCGAACAUCUUAAAAAAUAUUAAAGAGUUCAUUAUUAUAAAUCUAGAGACUAAAAAACUACAUUUCUAAAACUUAUAAACGGAAUACAUUCUUCAAAACUUGAGAACUAAAAUUGUAAUUUUAAAAAAAAAAACUAUAUCUUAAAAGUUAUUACAAAAAUGAUUUGUUGGUCUUCCACGAAAAAGAAACAUCUAAAAUGAUCAAUUAUAAUUUUUAAUUAUAAGAUUCUAAGAAAAUUGGAACUUAGUUGUUUUUAGGAAUUGUUAGAGAAUAAAUUGAGAUAAAUAUUAGUGUAUAUAAUAGUGUAAGUAUGGUACUAUUAUAGUUAGAAAAAAUAUUUUUUUAAAAAAAACUAACAAUAAAUUCAGGUUGUUUCGAGUUCGUUUGGAUGUUUAUGAUGAACCCAUAAACCAACCAAAACCACGAGAUUCUUCAUUUGUUAACACUUUCCUAUGUUUCACUAUUUUUUAUGCAAUAUAACAGAAUUAUUGAUUCAUCCCUUAGUUAGAAUAUCGAUAACAAAGUCCAUGAAAAUAUAAUACAAAGUCUAUGAAUGAGUUCCAAAUAUGGAUAGAAGCUCAAAAUGUUGUCCUAUAUAUCGGUUUAAAGAACACAACUCUUCUUCAUAUUGCAAAUUACUAUAAUUCACAUGCUAUCAGAAUUUACUGUUAAUAUACUACAGUUUAUAUACACCUUCCGGUAAAGCAUGCAAAGCCAAAGAAAAAAAUGUGAUGAACUACACAAAAUCUAGACACUGACCUUUGUGUUUUGAAGGUUGUUUUUUACAUUUUAAACUUCAUUCUUUAUCACAACUUCAAACUUCAUAACCAGGAUUCACUUUCUGCUGUACAUCUCCAUAGCUUUCAAGCUCCUCCAUGUCCUCCAUACUCCCUAAGAACAAAGGCAGCCUUUGAUGCAGCUUACCUGGCUGCAAUGAAAGAAUUCGAUGUUUACCAUCUGAACCUCGGCCUCCGGCUUGCUCAACGAGAAGGCUAAGAGGGUUUGCCUCAUAUACUAGACGAAGAUGAUCUCUUGGAUUCAUUGCCACUCCGCCGUAUAACAAAGUUCGAUGGAGAUCAGCAACCAGAGAACAUAUGUAACGAGCAGAGUAUUUCUUUGGAUUUUUGCCUUUCCCCUGUCUGAUUGUGUCAAUAUAUCGCCGCAAUCCUUCUGGCCAGUCGAAAUAUCUUGCAUCGUUUACUGAAUAUAUUUGCCCUGAAGAAUAAGAAAGCAGUUGAAAUAGGGUCCAAAAGAUCCCCUUUAUUGUCUCUCGAAGUGUUUAUAAUUCAUUAAAAGGAAAGAAAUAUAAGUUUCUAAGACUCCCAAAAUCUUUAGCUUAUUGUCCAAAUAUUCAUAACAUUUAAGUAUAAUCAUUCUAUUCACAUUAGAAAAGAUUCUUUUGGCUAAUUCUCCAAAUAUUCAUAACAUUUGAGUGCAGUGUAGGUCUACAGCGUCAUCCCCCCACGAGUAGCUGAAAAUGGAUUACCAGAUCAGUGAAUUCUUAAUAGGAAAGCAAGUUGAAGCAAAGGGGAUUAUGCUAGAACCUUCUUUUGGAUUAAAAGAAAACGAGUCAUAUAGGAAAAGGCAUGCAAUAUAAGGAAAUCCCACGGCAAAAAUUAUUAAAAUUCUUCAUAUUUUCUUUAGACAGAAGCAACUGCUCUCACUAAGAAAAAAAACAAAAGAAGAAAAAAACAUACAAAGAACAAAACCUCACUAAAAGAAGGGUUUCCAACUAAGUAAGAUGUUACCUAGAGAAUAGUUACAAAAAGUGAACACCAAAACUUAACAACCUCACUAGGGUCUCUCUAUCCACACAUCUAAACAAUCUAUUGUUUCUCUCUCCUAACCAUGGAACACAAGACUACUGAAUUAUAUUGGCAGUCGUAUCAAUAUUGUGUUAUAUUUUGGACCAUGGAACCCGACAUGUUACCUCGAGGAGGGAUUUUGAUGUGAGGAUGAGUAAGAAUGAAGUCUCCUGUUGAAUGGUCCAGUGUAAAUGCAUGUGUCCCAGAGCCAAAGCUGGCACAAAGAAUUGUAGCUGAUGAGUAGAGAACAUAUCCAGCAGCCAAAAGUUUAGUCCCACUCUGUAGAGAAUUAAGCACGGCCUUCUCUUCUCUCGGUAAAUUAUCGAGUUCAACAAGACGUUUAUAAACCCCAAAAAUUGUGCCAGUAGGUAUUGAUGCAUCGAUAUUUCGAGAACCAUCAAGAGGAUCAGUUACCACCACAAAUGGGCCAUCAUCUCUAAUCCAAACCGGUUCAUCAUCUUCUUCUGAAGCCAUCACGGCAACUUUUCCAGAAUUUCUAAGGGAUGAUAAGAUGAUUUCAUUCUGUAAAACAGAGAUAUUGUCUCCCAGAGUUCAGUUUUUCUUUUCUCGAGGAUGUAUUUGCAAAGAAAACAGAAAACCUACGUUGCUAAACUAGAAAACCUGAACAGUAACUGAACAUAAUAUGCUGAAUACUUCAAGAAGUUGUAUGUUUGCAAUUUAGGCCUUCAAAAUCCAAGCGUUUCAAGAGUGUCCUUAGUUGUCCAUUUUCGUAAAAGAUAACCAAUGCUUUCCUUUUUCUUGUCCUUUCUUUCUUUUUUUCUUUUUUAAAAAUGAAUCAACGGUGCAUGGCUGGGAUUUAAAAGAAAACAUUUAGACAUUAAAUGCUCCGUUAGACAUUAAAAAUUCCUCAAAAUAUAGAACUCAUAAAAGUUGGCGUACUUUUUGUUUGUUGCAUUAUGAAAUUCUUGUUAUUAGAUAUCUAGUUUGGUCUUUCUUAGUUUAUAAAUCAAACAAUCAUUUUUCUGAACGCUUUUAAGAUUAAUAACAGUUCAAGAACAAUUGGUAAGUUUGAAAGCACUAUUGAAACACGGCAAAGUAUAGCUUUGAUCCCUAUAAUUUAUCUCAUUUCUAAUUUGUUUAAAUUAGCCAAUCAAGCCUUUAAGAAUUCCCCAAUUUCAUCCUACCUAACUGUUAAAUCUAGGUUAUGAAUUAAUGGAAAAAAUGGCACAAAAGAAUCCAGUUUUUUGCCCAAUAACCUCCUGUAUAAAGUAGGAUGAGAUGGAUAUGGCAUGAUAGACAUAUUUAACAUCACCUAUUUAAAAGUUCAAAAAAGAAGGUUAAGAAAACUAUGCAUUCGAACUUCAACCACUAAGGACAAAGUAAAACAGAUUCCCAAUUAAAUCAAUAUCCAAAAUGAAUGAAAAUUUGCUUACAGACACAAUGUCGAGCGGCUUGGGUGCAUCCCUCUCCGACCCAACAGCCAAACCCGCCGGAUUUUGAAGAUCGGAACUGAAGGGAGAAGCGACAAGAGCGGCAAUUCUCUUGCAAGCAUACUGAAUAUGAGUCAACAGCAGCACUAAAUCAUCUCCCAAACCAAUCCCUCCCUUACCCACAAAAUCAGUCAAAGUACAGAGACCAUCAGUGCCUGUGCCGCUAGGAGCGGCCUCUGUUCGCGACCGGACGGCGAGGCCAAAAGGGGUGGAAGCCAUAGCUGUGGGGACACGGAGCUUGGAUGGAGGGGGGAAAUGGCGGAUUGUUGGGGCAAAACGAGGGAGAUUUGAGGGAAAGGAAACGGGGGGAUUGAAGGGAGGAAUGGUAGUGGAUUGCAUAGUAUUAUUGUGUGGAUUGUUUUGAGUUUUGGGAUUUGGCGGAAGUUGAUGGGAUCAUAAUGGGCGAUGGGUUGGGAAUUUCAUGGGAAUAAUGGAAUGAAGGUUUCUAUAUUAUAAUAGCAAGUGUGAAUUUCGCUUCUUAUGUCAUCAACUCGUGAAAUUACACUUUAUUGGUAAAUCUAUUAAUUUAGAUUUUUUUUCUCUUUUCUUUACACGAUUUUUCUCAAGAGAUUCUUAUGCAUUUAUUUGAGCACCAACCAAGAAAGAAUAAUUGACUAAGCGAGUAUAUAACAUAAAACAUGAGUAUCAAGAUUUGAGAAUUGAGUAUCAAAAAAACUUAUGAAAAGGAGCACUCAAUAGCUCCUAAGGUCUAAUCAAUAAAUUCACAUGUGGCGAAAUAAACAAACAAAAAAAAUUUCAUUUAAAUCUCAAUGGAGGCAUGUUUUUUCCCUAUGUUAUGAUAGAAAUUAGAAUAAAUAUUAGAAUUAUCCUUCAUAAACGAUGGUUGUGAUUCUAUAAUAUUUUAUGAUCUAAAUUUGAGGAACUAAAUGAAAUUUGUCUCACUUUUUGAAAACGAGUUUUUUUAAUUUUUUUUAGAUGUUAAAUUUGGGAGAAAUUACUAAAAGGGACUUCUGUCCCUCAUGCAAAAGGUUCUUUCUUGCUCUACUAUUCUCGCUCUUUGGGGCUCCGCCUCGUAGAUCGUUGUCAUUUCUCUCAUGAUUUCGCUCUCUUAGUCUAGCUCUUUGGAACUCGAUCUCUCAUAUUGCUCUCCUCUCUCUCUUCAUCUCACAAUCUUAGCUCUCUCACUCUCACUCUUUUGAGCCCAGUCUCUCUUUGCAUGCAACGCAAACUAAAUAGAGGAGGAGGUGGAGGCCAAAGCUGCUCAAAUGGACUCGUCAAGUUGGUUCAUGGUCUUGUAAGAGUAAUUUUGUAAAGUUGUUUGACAUUGAUGCAAGCAAAAUGUAAAAAAAAAUAUUGCAUUUUAAGGAACAGAUCUCAAGAUUUCCCCUUCCGGUGCUAAGUAUUGCAGUUGGAGCUCAUCAAUGAUAUGGAUUUGAUGCACUAAUGAUCUACCUGCAGUUCAUUCUGAUUUAGUUAUAGUAUACGAUUAAAAUGUCAAUGAUAUAACUCCUAUCGUUCUAAAUUAUAUACUUUAUAUUUAAUAUAUAUAUCAACAAUAUCAUUGAUGUGUAUUUUCUCCUUUAAAUUAGAGAUGAUAUAUGGAAGUAUAAAGUAUAUCAAUUGACUGAUAUACCAAAAUGUUGAUAUAUUUGCUGAUACACAAGUGAGGAUGAUAUUAAUAACAAAAACAAACAACUAGAAAUGAUGAUCAAUUUUUUUUUUUUUUUUUUUGUUAUAUUUGGAAUUUUAGAAAAUUGUUGCUACGAUAGCAAAGGUUGAAAAAUCACACUAACAAAACAUGUGAUUCUUUACGAAUGAAACUUUUAAGCAUGAAAAGUGAAUCAAUUUUAAACCAAUUCCAACCUUCGUUUUGCAAUGAGUUUAUUGGGUUAAUUUAUUGAUUUUGAAAAGAUUUUAAUUUGCAUAGAAGAAUGCAAAAUUGAAGAUAUUUUUGUUUGAAUAUGACUGUAGCCUCAUGUCAUCAUAUAGUCAGUGAAGAGAUUUCUUCUUUGACGCUAAAGAAAGAUCCAAAAAUUCAAAGAUAUAUGAUGACGUUAUCUAUAUUCUUUUGACUUGUUGAACUCAUGAUCAAAUUGCAUUUACUUAAACACCCAACCGAACAACAAUUGAAGGGUUGAUGUGAACAGUUGCCUAAAAAAAUGGUUUCGAGCGCCAUUGAUCUUUUGAAGAAGGAGAUUCCACUGGAGCAGGAAUCUGUGGUUUUGGCUGAAGAUGCUGUGAACGGUCUUGUUCUUGUUGAUAUUAUCCAUGGCUUCUGCACGGUUGGCGCUGGAAAUUUGGUAAAAUUUUCUACACUUAAUUGAUUUUUUGAUAUUAUAUAUAUGUUCUGCACACCAUCUGUUUGAUGAAAUGCUUUUUUUUGGUUUUACUUGAAAGAACAAGUAAUUUUGGUAUUUAUGUUAUGCGCCUUUGUCUGAAUUUACAAAAGAAUUGAGUAAAGAUUUGGGAUUUAUUGCUUCUUCUUUGGAAUAUAAUCUGUUUGAUGCUAUCCUGCUUCUGAGUUAUGGGUUCUUGCACUUGCUUUCCAAACUCUAUGGUUGUUUUGUCAAUUGGCUGAAAAAUUGAUUCCUCAAGUUUUAAUUUUGUAUCAAAUGGUAGGUAACUUUAAAAAUAUAGUUUUUUAUUUAUUGAUUGAUGUAAAUAUAUAUCUUUUUAAUUUUUUGUUUUUACAAUUUUUCCAAAGCUAUCUAUCAAAAUCAUAUAGUUUAUUGAUAUUUUCCGUCGACAUUUUUGCAAAGCUAAAACAUCUGUAUUUUGUUGACAUAGUUUUACGUUUAAAUUCUACCCAACCCAAAAGAUCCAAUGCACUUUGGACCAAGUCCACCUAGUUUUCUUGUAAAUUAUUUUUUCCAUUCUUUCUGUUCAAUGAAACAUCAAACUUUAGCAGAGAAAUAAUACAAAAAAGAGAAGCCACGAAAAAGGGGAUCUAAUCAAGGAGCCAAAUAUCGCUAUAACAUCUCUCCCUCCCUGAAAAAAUGUAUUAUCUCUCACAUCUAAAGACUCCAUAAAAUGGAGCAAACUCUAGCCUUCCACAAAACAACCCUUAUUUUUUCGAGAAGGCAAAUAAAGAAGGAAGCUUGAUGAUCGAUUCUUUACAGCCGUGCAAGUUAGGAAAGCUAAAGUUGAACAUAUAAAAACACAUUAGGGACAACAAACCUCUCGAUAUUUCUAUAAUGGUAGGUUACUGUCUACACUUUAGACAUUCAUUCUUAUGGUUUUGCUCUUAUUUUUACCUAAAAGUUCUUGUACCAUUAGAGAGAUAGUUGUUGUUACUUGUAAACUCAUGAUGAUCAUUCCUUUACCUAGCAAAUGUAGAACUUUUGUUACAUCUCCACGAGACCCCUCUAAAAAUCACAUCUCCCUUGUAAAUAGAAAUAACAACGUUAUUGAAUUUAUAUUGAUUUAUAACAAUAAUGAUUUUUAUACAUCUAAUCGACACGUGACUGUAUUUGCAUUCUCUCCUAAUAUGUUGUUACUGGUAAUUAGGAUAAUCCAACACACAUUUACUUCGUUCUGUGAAAGAAAAAAAAGCCAUAUAAAUUGAUGUAGCAAGAGAAACCAUAGUGUAUAUACUGAAGUAUUUGGAAUUUGGGAUGUAUUUAAUUUGCAGGCACCAAGAGAGCCAAAUAGACAAAUAUCUGAAAUGGUGGAAGAAUCAGCAAGAAUUGCAAGGAUUUUCUGCGAGAAGAAAUGGCCUGUGAUGGCAUUUAUUGAUUCUCACCAACCAAACAAACCUGAGAAACCAUAUCCUCCUCACUGUAUUGUUGGUUCUCAUGAAUCGAACUUGGUUCCAGGCAUGUCGUCCCCUCUCUCUAAAUGAUACCAACAAAUUUCCUAAGUAAUUCACCACUAAAAUUUAGAUUAAUCUUAAAGAGAUAUUUGAAACGUAUGAUUUUAAUAUUAAGUAUAUGUUUGUUGAGCUUGGAAAUGAAUUGGUUUAUUCGGCAUGCAUUAUUUAAGGGGUGUUUGAGUGCCCAACUCGUCUUACUAUAGUGGUCGGAUGUGUUUGGAUCUUCCACUAUAAUAGGUGAAGUGUUUUCAAAUUUUUAUUAACUUAAUUGAUACAAGUGUAAAUUAAGAACUAAACAUAUCAUUAACUUUUGAUUGCAGCUUUGCAAUGGGUGGAGAAGGAGGCGAACGUGACAAUAAGGCGAAAGGACUGCUUCGAUGGAUAUAUGGGCUCCUUCCUGCCUGAUGGCUCCAACCUUUUCGUGGAUUGGAUUAAAAAUAAUCACAUCAAAUCUGUACGAUUCUCCAUUACCCUUCUUUCUUCAUUUUCAAUGCCUUUUCAUUUCAAACUCAAGAUGUUUAACAAUCCUUUUCUUGCAAUACAAAAUUUGUCAUGUAACACUCAAUUCCCACUACUCACUUUAUUUCUUUAGUUCCCGUUAUGUGCUGCUUUACUUGCUAUCUUUCAAGGAACUGCUUGGUUGGAGUUAUUUCUGUAGAGUUAAGUUGUUAGUAAGUGUGAGUUAGUGGAUGGCUUAAAUUACAUGUGAUUUUAAUGAAUGAGUACCAAAUUUGUAAUUUUGCUUGAUGAUGAGAUGAUAGAAGCAAAUGGGUAUAAAACUUUUAUCAUUUUAUUAACAAGGGUAGAUGUGAUUAUAUUUGGUAUGAAGUUAAAACCCUUUAUGUUUUCUUUCUUAUUUCAUGGAUGAAGCUUUUGGUGGUUGGAAUAUGUACGGACAUUUGCGUGCUAGAUUUUGUGUGCUCCACUAUGUCUGCAAAGAAUUUAGGGUUUCUUCAUCCUUUAAACGAUGUCGUUUUGUACUCUCGCUCUUGUGCAACCUUUGAUAACCCUCUUCAUGUUGCUAAAAACACCAACUCGGCUCUCCCUCAUCCUCAGGUAAAACCCUUUUUUCUCUUCUCCUUUUUUUAACUUCAUGGGAACUUUAAAAAUAGCAAAAUGAUCAAACUAUUUACAAAAUAUAACAAAAUACAUCAAACUUACUAUAGUCAAUUCUAUUCAUAACAAUUUUCUUAUAUAUAUUCUUGUAAUUGUGAUUAAAAAACGAAGUAGAAAGGAGUAAACGAUCAAACUAAAAUGUAUGUUUAAAAUUGUAAGUGUCUAGAUGUAUUUGAAAAUAUAGACUGUAUAGUCAUUUUCAAUGAUACAAGAGAUAGUCAGAAUGGAUACUUUAAAAAUAUAGAAACUAAAAUAAACCAGAGUUGAAAGAUAGAUACUAAAAGUUAGGGUAAAUAUCAGGAGAUAGUUGCAAAUUUAGCAAUUAAAUUCAAAAUAAUUAAGUAUAUAGCAACAUUCUAAAAAAAUUACAAAUAUAGCAAAAUUUGUCAAAUUCUAUCAAUUAUAGAGUCUAUCACUGAUAGAUCAUAUUGUAAAAAUUGGUCUAUCACCGAUAUAUCAUACGAGACUAUAAGUGAUACAAGUCUACCGACGAUAGUUUUGCUAUAUUUGCAUUUUUUUCAAAUAUUGCUAUAUCCUUCAUUAUUAUUCCUCAAAUGGUCAUCCAUUACGAUUACUCAAAUAUUUCAAUUUACAAUUUACUUCCAUGAACUUUGAGAUUAUAUCAAUUUAAACUAUAAAUUAAUAAUUGUAUCAAUUUAAACUCUAAACUUGUAUAAAAAAUUGAUAUAAUUAUAAGUUUAAAAUUAUAAUUGAUAUAAUUAUUAGUUUAAGAUUUAAAUUGAUACAAUAGGAAAUUUACCAUUUUUUUUUAUUUUAUGCAUCCAAACUAUCUCUUUAAUUUUAAUAAAUUACAAACCCUUCUAUUUCAAAUCCUCCUCUGACUUUUUUCAAACUUUUCAAAAAUCUCCACCCCUUUACUUUUGCAAAUACAUUAAGCCAUAAAAUCAACAAUUCUUCCUUCAAAACUCACAUAUGCUAUUAAACUUAUAUUUGUCUUUCAACUUUUUUCUUUCAAAACCUCACACACAAAAUUAAAUUACCUCCACUAAGUAGCUUCCCAUAUGUUGCUUUCUUCAAUAAAGUCUUUACAAAACACUGAAUUGAAUAAAAUAAAAAAGAACUAACCCCAACUUUGAAAAUACUUUUAGAAGGACUAUUUUAGCAAAUAUUCUCUUUUCUUUUUUUUCACUAUGAAGUAUAGGAUUUAAGUAUUUGAGUUGUGUUUAGGAUUUAAGUAUUUGAGUUGUGUUUGUGUGGCAGGAGUUCAUGCAUCAUGUAGGCUUGUACAUGGCAAAGGAAAGAGGAGCAAUCAUAGCCAACAAAAUAUCACUUGGAACCAACAUAUAAACCCACCAUACUAAACUAGUUGUUUACCCUCUCUAAUGGCAAACCUUAGAGAAAUGUAACCAAAUAAAUAAAUUAUGAUCUUGAUCUUCCAAACAGAUCAAACUUAGAGUAUGAAACUCCCACUAAAAGAAGAGGAUAUAUAGUACAGUCUUCUUCAUGAGCGAUUCUUAUGGCAUGUCGUAUACCUCAAACUACACCUAGCGUGUUAAUCAACGCCCUCCUUUCAUAAAACUAGAUUUAAUUUUUAAAAAGUUCAUACAAUAAAAUGUAAUAAAGUUUAAAAACUAGAACCUGUACUUUAAAAGUUGAAAAGUCAAUCAACGACAAUCCAGACUUCAACCCAUUUAUUUUAGCUAAAAGUACCAAAACUCAUACUAGUUAAUUCCAUACACAUACCUACAACACUAUAUUUCUAAUAUAAAUGUCCCCCUAAUACACGUAUGAUACAAAUGAUUCACAGUUGAAUAGGUAUAAAAUAUUUGAAAAAAUUAUUUUAAAAUGACAAAACUCCUGAAAAUGUUUACUGAUAUUGCAAAACAUAGACGCUGGAAGAAGAUUACAAGAGUGGUAAGUAGUACGACUGAUCAAAAUACUAAUAAUUUGUCAUAAUAUUAACAGAUGGAUCUAAUGGAUAUUGUUCCAGCUUCAAACUGGAUUAAGGGUACAUACACUUAGAUAACCUCCAGAAAACCUGUCUUACAAAUGACAUCUCAAUCUACUACAGCUUAUAUAAAUAAGUAUAGCUAAGUGAUAUCUCAAACCACAAAACUUGAUGGUUAAGAAUUGAUGGAGCAAGAGAACAGAUUAAUAUAUACAAAAGCACGGAAAGAAUUGCCCAGAGAAGGAAGAAAUCAAGAGUACCAACUGUCAGCGUGGACUAAGCUUUGGUGAUCAAGUUUGUCAGACCAGGGUGAUAAGUCGGUUGGAUAACCAAUGACUCGCUUUGCCUGCUGCUAAACUGCUUAUCUUUAAACGAGGGCUUUAAAUCCUCUAAAACUGCUUUACAACCAUAACUACAUCACAAAAAAUGGGAAGAAAAUGGUAAGUAUCAAAGAUUACUACAAGAAUGCAACUAUAUGAAUGGCAAGUUCUUCGACGAUUUUUUCUUCUUCGAUAGAAGAAAAGAUUUUAUUGAUAAACGAAUAAGGCUAGAUCUACUCAUCUACACGAGUUCUUUGAUGGAAGAAGAAGAAAAUUUUUCGUUGAUCAAAGAAAGAAAAGUGACUAAUGCUUAAUGCUCAAAGUACAAGGAAAAAAAAACUAAGCAGGAGAACUAAAAACAAUGCAGCUGGAAAAUGAAGAAGCUUGAAAUCAAACUGAAAUAAAACAAACCAUGGAAGGGACGUAUUAGGCAAAAACCAUUGAACUCUUUCAAACCAAAGCUUUAGUAGAAGAACUUGAGUACCAUGGAAGGGACUUGUGGCAUUCUAAUUAAAAUUUUCCUUUAAGCUUUUCAGCAGAAAAAUUCAAAGAAACAAGGUUUUCUGAUGGUUUAUUGCUUUCAGGAGGACUAAUACUUUUUUAUAUAUAUAAUUUAGAAAUGGAAAAAUUUACAAAUGUAGCAAAAUUUCAUAAUCUAUAAAUGAUAUAUUCAGAUAGACAUUGACUUCUAUCAGUGUCUAUCAUCAAUAGAAUCUAAAUUUUUUAAUAUUUUGUAACUAUUUUGGUUCAUUUGCUAUAUUUGAAAACAAUCCUAUACAAAUUCUAAAUUUUCAAUUGGUUUGUUAAUUCUUGAUCUUUAAGCGGUUUUCUUUUCAGUUCAAGUCACAGACACUACAAUGCAACAGCCUUCCCUAUAGCUUAAUUGCCAGGCAAAAAGAAAAAUGCAUGCACACUUUUUUAGGAGCACGAUAGAGAAAGUAUGUACUUUUUUUGAUGCAUUGGAAAAUAUAUAAAAUAAUAAAAUUAUAAGAAAAUGAAAUUUUUGUGGUAAUCAAGGAAAGUAGAAAAUUUCCUGCUAGUAUUUAAGAGAUUUUUCAUGGCUUCAAAGCACAUUGAUUUUGUGUGUGCACUUGUACUAAAGCACCUCUAUGCGAUUUGGCGAGGGUGCCUUACUUCAACCCUUCACUAUCCUGGAAGCUGCACCUACCUAGGGACAAGCUUUCAUACACCUAAGAAGAACAUAAACAUGAACAAAGAUACAACACAGGUACAAUGACACAUUAGCUCUAACACUAGUUAGGUAUAAGGAAUAGACGUAAGUAGUAACAUUUGAGAGCAAAAACCAUACAUUAACACACAUUUAUAUACAUGUUUAAAUGAAUACAUUUUUUAAUAAGCACAUCCUAAACUUUUUGAGAUCAUGUUUACAUAUGUGUGUAACCAAUUGAAAUCAUCAAUUGGUUAGGAAAGGAACCCAAACUGUGCAAAGAUGUAGAUGUAAUAAAUUAGACGGAUGAUCUUACCCUUAAAGAAUCGGUGGAAGCACAAAUGUGAAUUGACAAGCACGAGAUUUCAGGUUAAAAUAAGAUGAAAUCUACUCUUGCAGCCUCAACCGAUUAAAAAACACCAGGAAAUGAAAUUCAGGAGCCCAAUAAACAAAUCCAACGACAGGUCCCCCUUUGAUGUACUGCAGAAGGGCAUAGAUUAGACUCAAACUUGGUAACAGAUGGAACAACAUCACCCAAAGAUAUAUAGCCGGGGUUGAUUAAGAAAUCACAAAUAUAAAAUAAACAGAGAACUCCAAACCUUUCCAUCAAGAAUAACAAGUUCACCAUCAACCCAUCGUGGAUUGCGAAAACCUGGCUCAGCUAGCCUACCUUGUCCUUUAUAUCUAGCCACCUAGGAUAAAAAGAACCAAAGAUGCCACAAGACCAUUCGGUAUCAAGAGGAGAGAAAAAGGACAAAAUUUUAGUUGAUAAAGAAUAAAAAUUACCACUCCAAAUUCUUCGGGAAUGAUCCCUUUAUGAGGAAGCUGGUAUCUUUUUCCGACCUUUGCCCGAAAUGCCACCUGUAAAACCAUGACAAUCAUCAAUACUACUCCACAGUACUUUGGAUGGAAAAUCCGAGUAAACAAAUAAAAGAAACAUGUGCAUUCAAAUAUUUGGAGGCAAACUAAAUGGUUCUCGUUUACAAAAAUGUCAAAGCUGAGAAGUGAGCAAUUAGCCAAUUACCUUUCCAGCGGGUACAUAUGGAUCCCCAAUAACUUUCCAGGCUUCUACAUAUUCAUAAAAUUCAAGCUUUGAAGGCUCCUUAUCCCCUCCUCCAUCCUCUUGCCAUCGACCAAAUCUGCGUCUUAGAUGAAUAAUUUCUGAUGUAUAUAUUCCAUGUGCCCCUAUGUACAGUCCUGAAAAAGAACGAUUUCUCCAUGAUGUCUUGAUGUGAGCUAUUGUUUAUACUUGGAUGGAAAAAAACCCCAGAAAAAUAAUAGUACAAUACCAUUAAGAGGAUCUGAAGAAGCAGGAAUUUCAAUGCGAUUGAAACUGGUAGAUCCAGAAAGAGGUUGAUAGUUUUGUGCCUGGCUGAUGGAUAGCUUUAUUAACUCACUCAAAUCUUUGAGUGCCUGAAAAAACAAGUUCAUAACGCAGAAAAGGAUAAAGAAAGUCAAGGCAUGACUAAGUAAGACUAACAAAUUUAGCACCUAAGGAUUCUUAAACUAACCGACAACCACAAUAUUAACAUGCAAGAAUUUUAAACCAACCUUCAAUGGUAUCUUCUCUUUGCCAACAAAUUUGGCUAAAUCAAGCAUAACAUGGUCAAUACUACCUUGACCUUGAGGCUUGGACUUCCUAUCCAAUGACUUUAUUUCCUUUCCAAGGGAGUCAUGCUCAUUCACAACAUUCUCAAUGGAGAAAGAAAAUGAAGAACGUCCCUUCCUGUCUAACUUUGCAGGCACUCUGAGUACAUUUUUAGAAGAAACACCCCCAGAAAGCUUCUGCACUAAACCACCAACAAUGAUUUUGAUGGCAACUUCAUUUCGUCCCUGAUUUUCAAGGAAGCCAUCAUCAGCAUCCAAGCCAGCAUCUUUCUCUUGGUGGUCAUCCUUAAUCUUAUCUUCCACUUCCAAAUCUUCAAAGUCAGUAUCUUUCUCACUCUCUACAUCGUCCUCCUCUUCCUCCUCUUCCUCUUCUUCAUCUUCUUCCUCUUCAAUUAUUUGCUCAAUCACCUUAGAUAUCACAUCUUUGUCAACCUUUCCAGGAGUUGACAGCUUCAAAACCUUGACCUUCACUCCAGGAAUCAUAUCUCUCAAGAUAUUCUGAAAGACCGGAAAUCCAACAGCUAUAUCAGAAUCUUCAUUCCUAAUGUCACCAUCUUCAGCUUCUUCACCACCUAUAAUGAUAAGAUCGUCUUUUUCUUCAAUGGGGUCCAAGGGAUUCAAUACACUAGGUGAAUCUAAUCCUUUAAAUGGACCAUUUGAAUUAUCAGAUAAAACUCCUUUUCGCUUCAAGUACACAGCCUGAACACCCCAAAAAAGAAAUACCUUGAGUAGCCAAUUGUAGCCAUUAUAACAUUUUAAAACAGAUUCUAAAUAUUCAUCUAAAACUAACCUAUUCGUAUGAUGAUAAAGAAUGCAUGGACAGUAAUCAAUCAUUUGUAAAGAAGCAUUUAAGAAAUAAUUUUCUUUAUGCAGUUCCAAGCUUUCAUUCGAAAUAAACAAAUACGCCCUCAACAAAAGGAGCCAAUCUAAGAAUGGGGAGAGGGAAAACAGAAACCAAUCAAGCAAAAAUAAAACCUAAAAGAUAAUUGCAGAAAACCUUAACAAGACCAAAGAGAAAAAUAGAACCUAACAACCCACACGUCCUCAUUAGACAUCUAAACCCCUAAACCUAACAAUAAUCUAUCAUUCCUCACAAUCCAAAGACCUCACAAAAUCGCACAAACCUCAGCAAGCCACAAAAAGAUGCAACUGAGAAAUACUCAGCAUCAAGCUUUUUAUUAAGUCAGUUUGUUAUGGAUAAACGAGGAUUCAUAACCAAUAUUUCUGGGUUAUGUAAGUUGAUAAAUAUGUGUGGUCGAAUCUGCUUGGCUGUAACAGGUCACCUAGCAAAGUAGCAGCAGAAUAGAAAGUAAAAACUUUCCGACACAAUGCACAAAGAAAAUAAGACAAUUGAAGACGGGACUUUAAAAUAAGACAAGAAGUAAAUGGGAAUGCUACUCAGGACUGAUUGAAUCAAAAGUUGGCAUCGCCUCUACUAAUCCUAGGGUCGACAUCCUCUCAAAAUCAUUGGACCAACACUCUAAGUCCCUUUCUAAUUCUACAACACUUACGCCUGGCCCACCAUGAUAUGUUAGUAAUCUUAACAAAGAAAAUUUUUAUUUGUACAGUAAAUAAUAUUACAUGUUUUAAGAUAGGUACCUGCUGUUUAUAUUCGCCCAUUUUGUUCAUUCUGAGAAAAAUCUCAAACAAGGGGACACCAUCUGCAGCUGUGGCAAGCUGUCUGAGGAAGUUGAGAAACAAAAAUCAAUAUUUUCUUUACUGCAGCAGCAAAUAAUAAAAUGUCUUCAAAAAACAAGAAUCAUUGAGACUUUGCAGAAAGCAUUAGUUUUUCUUACUGCAAAAUGAAUUGGCUGGCUUUCAUCUUCCCUCCAGAAUAAUCAGCAGUUAUUAUGUUUACUUUCUUAAUUUCUUAACUUUAGGGUCAUUUUGUAUUUGUAUCGCUAUUGGAUUCUCUCCUCAUGUUCUUGGUCUCAAUGAUAGCUUAGACUUUUAUUUAGGUUAUUGGUUGUAUUCUUUCUGUAUAUUUCCUCGGAAUUUUUGAGACUUUGUCUCUUUUCAUUAAUCAAAGAAAAAGUGUGUCUUCUUUUGACACACACACAAAAAAAAAACUAAACAAAAAACAAAAAAACUAAAGUUUGAUGCCCAAUAAUAGACUAGAGGUUUCCAUCGGUCAAUGAACAAUCAAAUGAAAGAAUUAAUACACACUAUCACCAAAAGUUGGAAAAAUCAAAUCAAAUAAAAAAUAUUUAGGGGAGCAGUUUAUAAAGUAGAUGACCUCAACAAGAUAAGAGUUAACAAAAGAAGACAUGUACAAUUGCCAAAAAAAGAGCCAAGUGUAGUGCAAUACAAUUGAAGGACAAAAUCAUACCGAGGACUGUAACUUCUAGCAACAUAUCUUCCAUGUUCAGCAGUUAUUCGAAUAAUCAGACCACGAGAAUUGUUUUUGUCUUUUGAAAUGCCAGACCACCAUCCAACCUGAGAGGAUGAAACCAAACAUGGAAAAUCAUAAAUGUGCGUAGUAAUAUAAAUGUGAAACCUGUUUCAGUUUUUAAGAAGAGCAUCCAGAUGUAAUUACUUAAUCAUGAAAGACAAUCACUGCACGUAAAUAAAAUUGGAAAAAGAUCACCAAGAAAAUCAAACUUCUUGCUCUUAUAUCUUAAUUAUAGAACUCAUUUAGCAAAUGGCUGACUCCAGGGAGAGGGUUCCGAGUUACUUUAAAGACCAUAAAGUAAAGAAGUAACAACCAGUUCCAGUUGCGAGAAAAAAGAACUGAACAAACAAGAAGUACAACCAUCUUGAAAUACAUGAACGUUUGAAAACGAUCAACCAGAAAAUCUUUAAGGCAUACACAAACUGCAAGGACCAAAUGACUGGGUAAAGGGGGUGGGGAUAAACAUAUUAUAGCUAGCACUUUAUUUUAAAACUCUUUGAAUUUCUCACCAACCCAGCACCAGCAUUGUCCCGGAUGAAGGCUGCAUCAUGGUACCGCUCCUCCUCUAUAGCUCUCUGUGAGAAAAAGACAACUAUAUCAUUGAAGCAACAAAUGAAAUACUUCUAGUUCUAGGUGGUCCAACCAAGUUUAAUUACAAAUCAAAUUUCAACCGACGAAUACUUCUCGGUAUGGUAAAAUAAUGACAAACAGGCAUAAAGAAGAUUCAAUAUUCAAAAUUUCAAAUAUUGGAAUUAUGUUCCAGAUCAGAGUGAGAGAUUUACUAACAUGAAGAUAAGACAUUGCUCUGCCAACAGUAUCGUUUGUAGCCAAAGCCGCAAUCGCCACCUUGAGCCUAGCAGCAUCCUGAUAGUCCUCUGCAUAUACCGCAUGACUUAUGCGCGACUGCGCAGGAAGAAGAAAAAAACGAAACAAAAUCAGUUUUUCUACGAUAAUCUUCAGAGGAAUUCUUCUCUGUUCUUCUUGCCUUAUUCUGUUUCAGCCUCCUCCCUAGCAAUUUCACUCAUUGCUCCAUCCUUCUCUUCCUAUUAAAUUGCAGUAAAUUCUUUCCUCUUUUCCUAAUUCUAAUAAUUUCAGAAGCUAAAUUAGAACGAGCCGAGAAAACUCCAAACUAGAACACAUCAAACUCCAACAAAUAACAUGGAAAUCGAAACAGAAAUACCUUAAGAAAAGAAACGAGGCGUUCCUGUUCGUCGACCUCAUCAAAAUGCUUGCGCCACCGAUCCCAAUCCCAACUCCGAUCAUCGUCCACAUCUUUCUUGUCAUCUCCAACUACACCCCCCCGCCCCUGCAGAGCCUCACCGUCGGGACACGUGUCCUUAGAGCCAUCGUUACGGUUGUUCACCAGAGAAUCGAAACGUCUGAAAGUCGUUUGAAAGAGGUCCUGAAGUGCAGAGCCCCAUCCCCAUGGAAGGGAAGGUUCAGACGGAGAAGGAGAAUCAGGGUUGUGGCAGUGGCAGAUGGUAUGGUAUUGGGAUGGCGGAGAUGGAGCAUAUGGUUUCAAAAAUGGAGUUGGGUGUUGGAAUUUGAGGGUAGAGAAGAAGAGCUGAUGAGGAGUGGGUGGAGAAAUGGAAGCCAUGGAUGAAUGAGACCCGUAUCUGUGGUGCUUAUACGUAGCUUUGUCAGAGAGAAGAAUUUGAGAUGAGAGGGAGUGAAAGGCUAGAAACUAUGAGAUGGGUAAGUGGAAAGAUCGAAAGUUGCGAUACCCAUUUUGUACCUUUGUUAUUUCAUCUCUGUGUUUGUGUUGUAUGAGAGAGAGGAUAAGGAAUGAUGUUUUGGGGUAUGAAAUUCCAUUUGAGUUCUUCCCUUUUUGUAUGGUGAUGCUCAACAUAGAAUUCUUGACAAAAUAGGAGUUUUUCUUUUUCUCUUUUUUUUCUUCUAUUUUUUGUUUCUUUUUUUGCUUGAAUUCUUUUGACUCAUCUCAUCAAACCCAUAUUUAGCUUUCAUGUUCUAUUGUGGUGUAUAUCAACCACGUUUACUACAUACGGCCUUCUAUGGAAGGGCAGGCUAAUAAGUUGUAUUGGACUUGGAAUUCACACUUGUGUUUGAGGGACUACUUCACAAUGAGAGUGAUAGCACUUUAAAAGUCUCUUACCGUAGUUUACAUUUUAAUUGUUUGCUUUUGAUGUUGUUUAUAAAUGUUUCUCGAUGAUCGAGCUUUGGGAGUAGUAAUUGAGAAUACUGAUGUACAACGAGUGAAAAGAAAGUCCAGCGUGAGAUUUAUGUUCUAAAGUUUUGUAAUUAUCUAGUUAAAUUAGUUUAAUUAUUGAAUAUGCAAUACUAAGGUAUCCAUUAACCGUGAAUGUUUGAGGUUAUCUUGAACAACAUGUAGUUAGCAUAUAGGUAGGUCGUAUUAAAGAAAUAUCCAUUAUUUAAUGAAUAUUUAAGAUUCAGUCCUUUCAUAUAGAGUAAGUAAAUAAGUAGUUUCUUUAAAAGUUGACUUUGGGUCUUGAUAGGAUUUGAAAUAAUCAGGUAACGUUCUAUAAAUGGGGCCUAGAAAUCCGUUAUGGAAGACACUACAACAUCAUGCAAGCACUUAGAGAGCAAGAGCCAAUGAGCAAGACCUAAGACUCGAGAACUAAAUGGGUAACAAAGACAACUGAUCCUAUCAAUGACAUCAACAAAAUGUUCGUUAUUGAUAUUGUUUUAGAAACCUCCAAAACGAGUCAUAAUUUUGCUGAAGGAUAGUUAGUUCUUAUCAUGGACACUCCAAAUACAAAAAAAAAAAAAAAAAAAAAAAAAAAAAAAAAAAAAACUAGCUCUAUGAAAAUUGAAAAUAAAGAUAUAUAAUCCAGAGCUAUUUUUUUUAGCUUAAACCCAAAGUUGAAAUAAUUUACAUCUCAAACACAAAUGUUUGUAACUCAAUUAUAAUAAUCUAAGAUUAAUAAUAGAAAAAUCGCAUCAAAUAACAAAAAAAAAAUCUAACAUCUAUUUUUUACAUAUUGCAAAUAUGACAAGUGAUUAAUAAUAUCGGAUAUGACAAGUAAUUAAUGAUAUCAAAUGUCUAUUAAAGAGUUAUUCAUUUUUAUAUUUGCUACUUUUACGGUUUAGAAAAUGUAAUGACAUGAGCCCUAUUAUCAUUUUUUUUUUAAUUUUUUGCUAUUUUUACAAACACCCCACGGUAAUAAUCAACUACUUGUCUCAAAUGCUCAUAAUUUGUAACUUUGGUCUGGAAGGUCAUCCCCCUUCUAAAAACAAUAUUGAUAACCAACUCCUAAUCUCAAACGUUCCUACAAUAACCUAAGACUAUAUCAACCAACAUCAUAUCUCAAAUGCCCCUAAUUAUCCUCAACUCCAAAGAGUCUAAGUUAAUAUCUCUCCCAUUGUGUGAUGUUAUGUUAAAACUGUGGGCUAACCAUUCAUUGUUCUUAGAAAGUAUUCCAAUGAAAGCAUGUUUCUUACUCUAAAGAAAAAUAAAAUAAAAGCCAACAAACAACUCAAGAGUCAAGACCAUUGUCAAUUUCCAUCCAUCAACAGCAUGCCUCUUUUAUUGCUUUUUUUUUCUGAUUUUUUUUCUUAAUAUUCUUGUCUAUGAACAGCUAAAUUAUGCAAAGGUUACAAACAGAAGGGAAAGCUAGCUUACUUUUCACAUUGGAUUAUAAAAUUAUUCAACAAGUUUAACUUACACAAUGGCUUGCCUUCUUUUCUAAAUUCUCCAAUAUGAAACUAUACUUCAAGAAGCCUUCUUCUUGUGUAACAAAGGAUCAGAAAUGACUUGAGGCUCAAAGUCAGGCUUUAGAUACUGAGCAAGCAUUUUGGCAUACAACUCAUAUCGAGCAGUCAUUCGGAACCCCCACUUAUCUUUUAGCUGCCUACACAAGUUAAGAUCCAUAUCGGAGAUUAGUAAACCAUCCCGGAAACGGGAGAGCGAGGGAGUGCAAGAUGCAUCUGGUGCAGAGAAAUGGCUGGACCCGUAGAAGUGACCAAAAUCUGUGUGUUGGGGUUUCCCAUCACCCGAAGUGAAUGGAUUUGGGAAAAUCUCGGUCCCAACGCGAUUGAUUGAUCCGACAAAAUAACUAUUUGCUAUUGCAGCAUUUCGGGCCUGCAAACACAGAAAAUGAUGAUAAAAAGUUCAAAGGAUAAUAGAUUGCAGUGCAGAAAAAGUAUUCUGAGUUUUCUAUAGAAAUGGAUAGAACCAGUAUAGUCACUGACUGCUCAGAAAAGCGGAACAUUUUCUACUUAGAACAAGUUCUAAGGACGCAGUUGUACAAUGUCUAGAAUAGAUCUUGUUCAAGUAAAGUCACGAAAAAGUUGAUUAUUGCGAUUUGCAAUUCAAAAUGGAAGGAAAGAGAACAAGUAUUUGCAAUCGUUUGCCUUGCUUGACAAUUGUGGUAUGAGUGAAAUGAUUACCUGGAACAAACAAGAAACAGAUGAAAACAAGUUAAAAGACUAACCUCAAUAGGCCACAUUGGUUCACUAAGUUCACCAACAGUUGCAGAAGGGUUGAAAACGAUCUCGGCACCAUUUAAACCGAAAGCUAACCAGUUUAAAGGGUGGUGCCUCCCGUAACAUAUAUUUAUUCCAAUUUUCCCAUAAGCUGUCUCAAACACAGGAUGGCCGGUGUUCCCUUCCAUGUAAUAAGUGCUCUCGUUAAAGUCGCCAACUCUUGGUAUAUGGUUCUGCAAAAAGCAAUUAACCUAAAUAGUUUCUACAGCCGAGAAAAUGUGAUAUGAAAACUAACUCCAUAACUAACACUUACCUUGCGAUGCUUGCCAAUUAUGUUUCCAUGAUUACCAAUAACAACAGCAGUAUUCCACAAAGUAUCUCCAUGACUAACAUCUCUCUCAAGAAUUGAACUUACAAUGACCAUGUUGUAUCUUAUUGCAAGAUCCUGAAGAAACCGUGUAGAUUCCCCAUCAAUUGGCUCUGCAAAUUCACACCACCGCUUUUCACGGGUACAAAAGGCAAAUGGCAUCAUCCAUGCUUCCUACACAUAUAUAUCUAUGGAUGUAAAACCCCUAAAAAAUAUAUAUAUAAGUAGAAAUACACAGAAAGAAGUUAGCCAGGGUAACCUACUUGCAAGCAUAAUAUGUUGACUCCAGAAGCACCUGCUGCAUCAAUAAUUGGCUUCACUUUCUCAAGAAUAGCCCUCUUCUGGUCUAAAAAGGGGGCAGUUGUAGGAAGAGCAAUAGAAUUUUGAAUAAGACCCACCCUUACUAUUCGAGGUUCUCUCACUGAUUCCUUGUCGGCAUGAAAGCGGAAAGCCUGAAACAAUUCAAAAGAACAAUAGAUAUAAACAUGUCCAUAGAAAUUUGAAGGAAAGAAAAAAAUCCCGCAAGAGCCAUUCAUCACAUAAAUGUUGCACGGUGAAUAUAAUAGUAGUUUAUAUAUUAGAAUAGAAGUUUGAAGGUCACAACAAAUUUUUGCAGAGAGGAGCCUUUUAUCUAUACAAUUUGCAGAGUUGAGGCAAUCAAAUCCCAUAAAAAUUCAAUUGUAUCCUAAUACUGCUGGUAUCAUCUCGACAUUGUUGGAUAAUUAAUGUGUUAGAAUGACCAUAACAGCUCUGACUUACUACCACUGAAUUAUUCUUAUUUUCCUCUUUAUGUUUUGUAAAAGAGAGGGCAAUAGAGAAAUGAAUGUGUAUUAUAAAAGACUAAGCCUACACUGUUGUCUGAUUUUUCUAGGACAAAUAUGAACAAAACUUAUGUAAAAGCUACGUCAGCUAAGGUCCUCUAUUCCAUUACUUCUUCAGUGUGCUCCAUAAAAACCAAAUUAUUAAUUAAUUACUUCCAGUGCAAUCCAACAUGUUAAAGUAAUGAUAUUAGCUUAAAUGUACACAUCCCGUAAACUUAAAUUUUUGAAUUCAGCAGUGAUUUAUUGUGGUAUUUGAGUAAGAGAUCCUAUGUUCAAACCUGCAAAAUGUCCUUUUCUCUCCGAUUAAUUUGAUAUGCAUUUGUUAAGUUUACUACAACUUUCAAACACACAAGUGAAGAGAAAGGUUAAAGCAUUGAUAUAAUAUUAAAUUUACCAUAACUCAAGAUUUUGGGUUCAUUACAAUAAUGGAUUACCAACAUUUGACAACGUCACUACUAAACGAUGAAAAAAAAAGACAGAUCGCUAAUUGCUUCGUGUAAAACAGACUGGAACCCAAUCAAACUCUUACGAAAGGAGACAGAAAUACUAAUUUGGUUUCUCUAUUGUAAAUAACACAUGGUCAAAGUUAACAAAGAAACUAAAGAAGAGACUCCUAAAAGUAAUUACCUGGAGGUCAAAAUCAUGCUCCAGAGAAAGACUAUUCACAGGUUCUGCAAGAGAAAUAGUUUGAAGUGGCUUUCCACAGUUGAGCCCUAACAGCAACCGGCUAACUUCCUGGGAUUAGCAACACAUUGUUGAAGAUCAUCUAAUAUUUUUUAAGGUCAAAGCAAACAAAUAAAUGCUAGAACCAUGCUAGCAGAAUACAAUCAAUAAUGCUAUAGUAUAUGUUGGCCCUAGAAGGAAAGAAAAAAUUAAACUGACUAUGUCCAAUGUUUCAGCAGAUGCCAAAAAUGUUUAUUAGUAACUCCUAAAUCAGUGAAGACUGGAUGAAUAAUAAUAUUAAUAAUUUUUUUUUAAAAAAACAAUUGUACUUGUUAGACAUUGAAAUAGUAUAAUAAUCGAAACAAAGAUAAAAUAACUAUAGCAUGGACCAGACACAUUGGUCACAUAAAAGUCAAUAUCAGCAAGUACACACACGGGCAGAUUUAGUGUAGGCACAGAGGGCUCGCCCCCUCAACUUUAUUGCUUUUAUAUAGUAUGUAUAAAGAAAACUUAUUAAUGUUUUUUUUUUUCUAAAUUACAACUUGAAGUCUCCUGUCAAUAAAAUUUUUGAAUCUGCCAAUAUACACACCACGAUUAUUUGUUUUCCAGUACUUUGCUACGUGUAUCUAGCAAACUUGGCACUCUCUCACAUUGUUGACCAAUAAUUCUUAAUGGCCCUAUUUAAUAAUGAUUUUGUUAUUGGUUUUCCUAUUCUCUAAGAACUGGAGCAUAUGAAAACUAAUUAUACCCAUGAUCAAUUAGUUUAGUUCUUCAAUUCUUAAAAUCACUUUUGAAAUCUCAGUCAAAUAAUAAAAACAGAGCAUGUACCUUGUUUCCAAAAUUUGGCUUGGAAGUUGGAAGUAGAUUAGAAGAUAAAGAAAAAAUGUGAAUAAAUAAGUAUGAUUUUAAAAACCCAAAAAUGUUUGUUUGGUUUUAAUCCGUUGACAUAGAAUCUAAUAGAUCAUGUACAAAAUUUGGUCAAGGAUUCGCAAAUACAUACACCAGAUAAAUCUAAUUCAGUACCUGCAAAGGAAAAACAGUUGGGUACUGCCGAUCAUCUACGACUACAAUUAAUUAUUUUCAACAAUACAAAGGCUCCUCCAGUAGAUAAAAGAAAUUAUACCAAUCUCCAACCGAGAACAAAGUAAUUACAAAACGACCAACUUCCGUAACCAAAACGCUUAUACGACUGAUCAAACUUAAUACAUCAGAAAAGAAAAAAAAAAAAAAAACUCAGACAUCUCUCAGAUAAAUUAGGAAAAGAUUCCCAGAUUCACAGAAUUCACCGCCCAACAGUUCGGAAUCAAACAGAACUAAAAGAAAUGAGCAAAAACAAUAAUCGACAUCCACAAACAGAUCAUUAAAAAUUUUCCAUACUUCGGUCCUAUUUCCACACAGAAAUUCGAUUAAAGAAGAAAAGGAAGAAAAAACGACCUGAAAUAUGUGAGGUUUGAGAUUUGCAGCAAGGAGCUGAUGAAGCGAGUCGUAACCACAGACGGAGGCAUUGUUAGUGGUGGCGUCUUUUCCAUCGUUGAGCUUUCCGUUUGCAGCGUCGUCAGUGAUUAAGAUAUUGUUAUUCUCCAUUGUUGUCUCUUCACUGUUCUUGUUGAAUUGAAGGAAGAUAUAUACACAAAUUGCUCGAGGAUGAUGAUGAAGAGGAUUGAUUAUACGAUUUGUCGUUUCUAAGAUAAAUUAAAGUAAGACUAAAGUGCGAUUAAAGCUUUAUCGUUUCGUCACAACACACCUCAGAUGCAUGUGUUUGGUAUAAUACAAAGGUGAUUUGAAAAAAUGGGUGUUUUUUAAAAAAAUUGGAUAAAAAAGAGUAUUUUCAAAAGUAUUUAGAUAAAAGGUGUGAAUUUUUUUUUGUUUUAUUAUCAUAUUUUUUUAAAAAAAUUUCUCUCUCCUGUCAACGUAAAAGAAGAAAAAUAAAUGGUCAGUAGGCCCAUUUCAUUUAAUUUAUUAUUUUUAAUUAUUAUUGUUAUUGUUAUUAUUAGAAUAUUAAAAGACAUAAAUUUAAAAUUACUAAAUAUUUUAAAUAGAACAUUCAAAAAUUGAAUCAAUACAAUAUCAAAAAUUACAAAAUUGAAAUUAAAUCUAUACAAUAUCAAAAGUUAUAGAGUUAAAAAAAAUAUUAUUAAAAUAUAAAAAAGAUAGUUAAUUUUAUUAAACUAAAUUAAACAACAAAUUAAACAAUAAAGUUACGGUUUACUUUCCUAUUACUUAAAUACAUUGUUUCACUAAUUUUUUAUAAUUAAAUAAUAUUUAGAAUAAUUUAUAGAAAUAGGACCCAUCACAAAAUGACAAAAAAAAAAUUACCUUUUAACCAAAAUAGUUUUUGAAACCAUGUUUUUUUCAAAAAAAAAAAUUAAAACACCCAUUUUUUCCAAAUAACCCUGUAAGAAAACAUUAAUUGAGAGUACAUUAUAAUAUGAUUCUUGUAAAUUAUUUUGGUCAGUUUUUAAAUUGGUUUAAACAUGUUUGUAUUUCUUCAAAAUUAAUUUGGAUGACAUAUUGUAAAUUUUGAUAUUAAAAAUUAGAGAAAUUAUAAAAAAAUAGUAAAUUUAUCAAAUAUUUACAAACUAAAUUACUAUUCAUAGAAUCAAAAAAAUUAUAAUGCAAAUAUUUUAAUUUAUUUUUAAAAAGUUUUAAUUAGUCAUUUGAAAAAAAUGUUUUCAAAUGUAGCGAAUUAGUCUAUGUUUAACUGACAACUUAUCAUGCUAAGUCCAUAUAUGAAUUGUGAUUUUUGUAUGAUAUUUUGAAUAGUUUUAUUAUUUAAAAUAAUAUUAAUUUUUAAAUUUUUAAUAAAUUCUAAAUUCAGUUUAUGAUUUUUUUAAAAAAUGUUUGUAUUAUUUAGAAUUUUAACAUAUUUACCUAUUGUAUUUUCUUACCUACAAAUUAUUAAUAUUAUUUAACCAAUUUUAACAAAAUUUAAGUUUUGAGACACUAAAUUUAAAAA